rnacentral:lncRNA from 1 species
UGACAUUAUCCGCCGCUACGUCUUGACCGAUCCGAAUCCAACGGCUUCAGUUGUGAUCCAAGGCACUGUCGUCCACGUCAAGCCCUCUCCUGUGCUUGCAGCAUUUAGCUCGCGAGGACCUAAUCCCAUAACGCCAAACAUUCUCAAACCGGACUUGAUUGCUCCGGGAGUCAAUAUCCUCGCCGCGUGGACCGGAGCUCUGGGUCCCACCGGACUAGCUUCCGAUACUCGCCGCGUGGAAUUCAACAUCAUCUCAGGAACGUCCAUGUCUUGCCCUCACGUGAGCGGUUUAGCGGCUCUUCUCAAGUCUGUGCAUCCCGAAUGGAGCCCGGCCGCGAUUCGAUCUGCUCUCAUGACCACCGCUUACAAUACCUACAAAGACGGCAAACGGAUCCGGGACAUCGCGACGGGGAAACCUUCUACGCCGUUCGAGCACGGUGCAGGACAUGUAUCGCCAACGAUCGCCGUCAAUCCAGGACUCAUCUACGAUCUAACGACGGUGGAUUAUUUAGAUUUCCUCUGCGCAUUGAAAUACAAUUCGUCGCUGAUCAGAAUCAUAUCGAGAGGCAAUUACACUUGCAACCCAAGCAAAAAUUACUCCGUCGCUGAUCUAAACUAUCCGUCGUUUGCCGUUAACGUCGACGGAUCCGACACGUACAAGUACACACGCACUGUCACAAACGUUGGAGGAGCUGGGUCGUACUCGGUUAAAGUAACGUCGGAGACAACGGCAGUCAAAAUUUCGGUUCAACCGGCGGUUUUGAAUUUCAAGGAAGUAAACGAGAAGAAAUCGUAUUCAGUGACGUUUACCGUUGACUCGUCUAAGCCGUCUGGGUCUAACAGCUUUGGGAGCAUUGAGUGGUCAGAUGGGAAACACGUGGUGGCUAGUCCGGUGGCUAUUAGCUGGACAUAGUAGUCAAUUACGACUACCUUGAGAAAGAAGAAAGUCACAUAUAUUGUAAUGUCGUUUUUCAUAAGAGCUCUGUUUAGCGAAAACAGCAUGCAGUCUGUUUUGUACGUAAUUUUUAUCACUAGACUUGAAUAUUUAAUGAAAAGUAAAAAAGUAUGGCUUUUGUUAAAAGCAAUUUCACCUAUUUACAUGAUUGUGAACCACUCUAAGUAGAAAACUAUCACUAAUCAAUUACCUCCAGUGUUUCAUAACAAUGUGACUGCAAUGAGUUUAAACAUAUUUUAAUCUAAUAACAUAAAUCACCAAUAAUAACAAGUUCAUCAGUAUGAGGUACUAAGGAGAGCAAUCGAAAUAACAAACUAUUUUUUUUAAUUGAAAUAACAAAAUGUUUGGCUUUUGUUAAAAGCGAGCAAUUUCACCUAUUUACAUUACACAAAUUUGCAGAGGAAAAUCCAAAAUAAAAGAAAAAGAUAAAAUUCAUGAAUACUGGCACUCGACUCAAAUUUAAUCAAGGUCCAAUUACAACUUGAUAUAGAAUUUUAUUUUCAAAAAUUUAAUAUAAAAAUAAGGACGUGAACAAGAGUCAAAAACCCACCGUGGCAUUAUCUAUCACUCAGGGACCAAUACAAUGGACCAACCUGCCAGCUUUUGAUGUUGCUACAAUUUUUAUUUUUCCUGGUUUAUAAAAAUAUAAACUAAAGUAAAAAGAAAAUCUGAAAAUGUAUCACUGUAAUGUUAGCUAUUUUUAUGUGAUUUUAGUUAGUUUGAUCUGAUAUUCAUGUCGUACCAUACAACCAAAGUCUCUAGUUGCCACUCACAUUAUUUGGAUCCAACCCUCAAAGCCCCAUAGAAUAUAUAUAUAUAUAUAUGGAAAGUAGUUCGUUACUUCGCUUUUGUCUUGUGAUGAGCCUUAAUGGACUUACAAUAUUCUUAAACCCUAAACCCUGAUUUUAAAACACCAAAGCAUUCAUGUCAGCCUAGAGAAUUUGCAGUAGAGAUUCAUACCAGAAAGCCGAGAGUAAGAUGGCAUCCCUUGGAGGAGGAUCUUCCGGAUUAACCGAUGGAUAGCUCACACUCAUUUGCUUCUCUUAUCAUAUAAAAUUUCGGGGAAACAAAUCAAGCGAUGAGUAUAGCUUAUUGAUCAUUUUCCUUUCAAAUACUCGUACACUUCAAAUCUAAUUCAAGUUCUUAUAAGGUAAAACUUUUCUGGCUAGAUUCCAGAAGGUAAACUUGUGUUCACACUUCACAGUCACCUAUAAACCAUCUUUAUAGUCUCAAACAAAUCACAGUCAGUAUAUCUAGUAUAGUAAUCAUUAAUCAGUGUAACUGGAUAAUUAUUUCAUGUCGAACAUAGUAAACUUAUGAGAACAAAAGUCUUUAUCUUUUGUCCUUGGUGAACAGAAGUCUACAAACAUUAAAAUUUACGAAAUAAAUUGAGAGAGAAAUCAAAAUGUGUGUGUGGAAAACCACUGUAACAUACAAACAAAAUAUACUCAAAAUUUUGAAUUUUGCAUUAGUACACACCACCAAAUAAUCUUCUAGAGAUAUGAACUAAGAGGCUAUAUUCACUUUAGUGUUAAAAGUUUUUGAACGUCAUUAUGGUUUUCUCGAUCCCCCAUGAUACUAUCAAACCUAUAAACCGUCUUUAUAGUCUAAAACAAGUCACAGUAAAUAUGAGGAUUAAAAACGUUAAUACUAAUCGGAAACACACAAUCUCAAGAUUAUAAUCUCGAGAUAAUACUAGAGUAUAGUAAUUAGUGUAAUUGGAUAAAUAUUAUUUCAAGUUGAACAUAGGUAAAAAUUAUGCGAACAAAAGUCUUUAUUUUUUGUCUUGGUGAGCAGAAGUCUACAGAGAUUAGAAUUUACGUAAAAACAAAAUUAAUCACUUUCGAAGCAGAAUAGUGGACAGGAGUCUAGUUGCCCAUUAUCUCUUUUUUUUUUUUUUUAAAAACACACUUGUCCAGUAUCUCCUCACUCUCUUUUUAUACUCUAUAUAAUCUCCCUCGCGUCUUUAACAUUUUCCGCACAAAUUAUAAAACAUGUCUUUUCUCUCCUCCACCGCUCUCUUCUUCUUUAUCGUUCUUCUUAAUCUGAGUUCUUUUCACGCCUCCGAUGGAGCUCAACAAGCUACUUACAUUGUUCACAUGGCGAAAUCUCAGAUGCCCUCGAGCUUCGACCACCACUCUCUCUGGUACGAUUCCUCACUCCGCUCAGUCUCAGAAUCCGCUGAAAUGAUCUACACCUACAACAAUGCGAUACAUGGAUUCGCCACUCGGCUUACUCCCGGAGAAGCCGACUCACUCAUGACCCAACCUGGUGUCAUCUCGGUUCAACAAGAGCAGAAGUACGAGUUACACACCACUCGAACUCCAUUAUUCCUUGGUCUCGACGGACAAAACGCAGGACUAUUCCCCGAAACCGGCGCCUCAAGCGACAUAGUCAUAGGAGUUCUGGACACCGGUAUUUGGCCAGAGAGCAAAAGCUUCUCUGAUGAAGGAUACGGUCCAAUUCCAUCUACAUGGAAAGGCGAAUGCCAGGCUGGGACUAACUUCACCGCUUCGCUGUGUAACCGCAAACUAAUCGGAGCUAGAUUCUUCUCUGACGGUUACGAAAGAGAUUAUGGAAAAAUCAACCAAGCCGACGAGUCGAAAUCGCCGAGAGACGACUUCGGUCAUGGAACACACACGGCGUCAACCGCGGCUGGAAACGUCGUGAAAGGAGCUAAUUAUUUAGGCUUUGCUAGUGGGACGGCUAGUGGGAUGGCUCAUCGCGUCCGAGUGUCUGUUUACAAAGUUUGUUGGAAAAGUGCUUGCGUGAGCUCAGAUAUUUUAGCUGGAAUGGAUAAAGCCAUCGAAGAUAAUGUCCACAUUAUGUCAUUAUCUAUCGGUGGUAAAUCGACAAGUUAUACAGGCGAAAUUUCCAUGGGUGCAUUCUCGGCCAUGGAAAGAGGGAUCUUUGUUUCCUGCUCUGCUGGUAAUGAUGGUCCCAGCCCAUCCAGCUUAUCAAACGCAGCUCCCUGGAUUACUACUGUUGGUGCUAGUAGUAUUGACCGUGAGUUUCCCGGGGUUGUGAUCCUCGGCAACGGAAAGAACUAUACUGGAGUUUCGUUGUUCAAUGGAAAUGCUCUUCCUGCUAAAUUGUUGCCGUUUGUUUAUGGAAAUUAUUGUAGCCGCGGAACACUAAAUCCUGAGAAGGUAAAGGGGAAGAUCGUGAUGUGCAUCAAAGAUGACAGUGUAAGGACUGAGAAAGGGGAGGUGGUGAAAGCUGCCGGUGGACUCGGAAUGAUUCUGGCAAAUGCAGCAGGGAGCGGAGAAGAAGUUCUGGCGGAUGCUCAUGUGUUACCUGUGACCGCCGUGGGACAGAAAGCCGGUGACAUUAUCCGUCGCUACGUCUUGACCGAUCCGAAUCCCACCGCUUCCAUUUUGAUCAGAGGAACGGUCGUGAACGUCCGGCCAUCUCCGAUGGUUGCCGCGUUUAGCUCGCGGGGACCUAAUACGAUAACGCCAAACAUUCUCAAACCGGAUUUGAUAGCUCCUGGAGUCAAUAUCCUCGCCGCAUGGACCGGAGCUCUGGGUCCCAGUGGACUCGGAACCACUUCCGAUACUCGUCGCGUGGAAUUCAACAUCAACUCGGGAACGUCCAUGUCUUGCCCUCACGUGAGCGGUUUAGCGGCUCUCCUCAAGUCUGUGCAUCCGGAAUGGAGCCCCGCGGCAAUUCGAUCGGCUCUCAUGACCACCGCUUACAAUACCUACAAAGACGGCAAACCGAUCCUCGACGUCGCGACGGGAAAACCUUCAACACCGUUCGAGCACGGUGCAGGACACGUGUCGCCCACGGCGGCCGUCAAUCCAGGACUCAUCUACGAUCUAACGACGGAGGAUUAUAUAGAUUUCAUCUGCGCAUCGAAUUAUAAUUCGUCGCUGAUCACAAUCAUAUCGAGAGGCAAUUACGCUUGUCCAAGAAAAACGCACCCCGCAGCUGAUCUAAACUAUCCGUCGUUCGCCGUUAACGUCAAAGGAUCCGGCACGUACAAGUACACCCGCACUGUCACAAACGUGGGAGGAGCUGGGUCAUACUCGGUUAAAGUAACGUCGGAGACAACGGCAGUCAAGAUUUCGGUUGAACCGGCGGUUUUGAAUUUCAAAGAAGUGAACGAGAAGAAAUCGUAUUCGGUAACGUUUACCGUUAUCUCAUCUAAGGCGCCAAUGUCUAACAGCUUCGGGAGCAUUGAAUGGUCAGAUGGGAAACACGUGGUGGCCAGUCCCGUGGCGAUUAGCUGGACAUAGGUGGUCCAUGAAGAAAUAUGGCGACUUGAGUAAGAAGAAAGCAACAGAUAUUGUAAUUUCUCAUGAGCCUUGGAUAUUUAAUGAAAAGUAAAAAAUUGGUAAGUACUAUUUUAGCUGGCUAGUGUGUUAUGAAUAUUCUUAUUUACUAGGCUGUGGACAUUGUAGAUACUGACAAUUAUUAGAUUAGUUUAUGAGAUAUGAAAUAUACUAGGCACUUGAUUCACGUUGCAUGAAUGUGAACCACUCAACGUAGGAAACUAUCACUAAUCAAAUACAUCUAGUGUAUCAUAACAAUGUGAUUACGAUGAGUUAAAAAAUAUGAAUCUAAUAACAUAGAGAAAAAGUAGAAACGACUCUAAGAGCUAAUCAUAACCAACUAGAGGUUUCAUUUCAAGAACCAACAAUAACAAGUUCAUAAACAUGAGGUAAUAAAAGAUAUCAAUCGAAAUAAAUACCUAUCUUCAAACAAACUAUAAAAAUGUAUGGCUUUUGUUAAAAGCAAACUCACCUCUUUCCAGUACACAAAUUUGCAGAGAAAAAUCCAAAAAAAAAAAGAAAAGGAUAAAACAAAUUCACGAAUAGUAACUCAAUUUUGAUCAACGUCCAAUUAAAACCCUGAUAUGUAAUUUUAUUUUCAGAAACCCAUCGUGGCAUUAUCACUCAGAGACUAAUACAAUUGGACCAACCUGCCAGCUUCUGAUGUUGCUAUAUUUUUAUUUUUUUUCUGUUUUAUAAAAAUAAAAACUAAUGUUAAAAGAGAGAAUGUAUCCCUGUAUUGUUAACUAUUGAUAUGAUUUAGUUAGUCUGAUCUGAUGUGAAGACAUGUUAAUUCAUACCAUACAAACCAAAGUCUCAAAUUGCCACCCACAUUAUUUGGAUCCCAACCGUCAAAAGCAUUGGUUAGUUGGUGUCUUCGACGAAACUCAUUGAGAUCUUUGCAAAGUAGUUCGUUUCUUUGCUUCUGUCUUGUGAUGAGCCUUAAAGAUAUUAAUAGACUCACAACUUACAUAAACCCUAAACCUGAUUUUAAAGUUGAGGAGGAUCAUGAACUUUAAAGAUAUUAAUAGACUCAUAACUUUGCUUCUGUUUUGUGAUAAGUUACAGCAGCCGGACUAGGAUCUUCCACCAAUGAACCGAUGCAUGGCUCACACUAAUUUGCUUCUCUUAUCUAAAACAAAUUUCGGGGAAAUAAAGCGAUGAGUAGAGCUUAUUGAUGAUUUCCUCACUCCGCUCAGUCUCAGAAUCCGCUGAAAUGAUCUACACCUACAACAAUGCGAUACAUGGAUUCGCCACUCGGCUUACUCCCGGAGAAGCCGACUCACUCAUGACCCAACCUGGUGUCAUCUCGGUUCAACAAGAGCAGAAGUACGAGUUACACACCACUCGAACUCCAUUAUUCCUUGGUCUCGACGGACAAAACGCAGGACUAUUCCCCGAAACCGGCGCCUCAAGCGACAUAGUCAUAGGAGUUCUGGACACCGGUAUUUGGCCAGAGAGCAAAAGCUUCUCUGAUGAAGGAUACGGUCCAAUUCCAUCUACAUGGAAAGGCGAAUGCCAGGCUGGGACUAACUUCACCGCUUCGCUGUGUAACCGCAAACUAAUCGGAGCUAGAUUCUUCUCUGACGGUUACGAAAGAGAUUAUGGAAAAAUCAACCAAGCCGACGAGUCGAAAUCGCCGAGAGACGACUUCGGUCAUGGAACACACACGGCGUCAACCGCGGCUGGAAACGUCGUGAAAGGAGCUAAUUAUUUAGGCUUUGCUAGUGGGACGGCUAGUGGGAUGGCUCAUCGCGUCCGAGUGUCUGUUUACAAAGUUUGUUGGAAAAGUGCUUGCGUGAGCUCAGAUAUUUUAGCUGGAAUGGAUAAAGCCAUCGAAGAUAAUGUCCACAUUAUGUCAUUAUCUAUCGGUGGUAAAUCGACAAGUUAUACAGGCGAAAUUUCCAUGGGUGCAUUCUCGGCCAUGGAAAGAGGGAUCUUUGUUUCCUGCUCUGCUGGUAAUGAUGGUCCCAGCCCAUCCAGCUUAUCAAACGCAGCUCCCUGGAUUACUACUGUUGGUGCUAGUAGUAUUGACCGUGAGUUUCCCGGGGUUGUGAUCCUCGGCAACGGAAAGAACUAUACUGGAGUUUCGUUGUUCAAUGGAAAUGCUCUUCCUGCUAAAUUGUUGCCGUUUGUUUAUGGAAAUUAUUGUAGCCGCGGAACACUAAAUCCUGAGAAGGUAAAGGGGAAGAUCGUGAUGUGCAUCAAAGAUGACAGUGUAAGGACUGAGAAAGGGGAGGUGGUGAAAGCUGCCGGUGGACUCGGAAUGAUUCUGGCAAAUGCAGCAGGGAGCGGAGAAGAAGUUCUGGCGGAUGCUCAUGUGUUACCUGUGACCGCCGUGGGACAGAAAGCCGGUGACAUUAUCCGUCGCUACGUCUUGACCGAUCCGAAUCCCACCGCUUCCAUUUUGAUCAGAGGAACGGUCGUGAACGUCCGGCCAUCUCCGAUGGUUGCCGCGUUUAGCUCGCGGGGACCUAAUACGAUAACGCCAAACAUUCUCAAACCGGAUUUGAUAGCUCCUGGAGUCAAUAUCCUCGCCGCAUGGACCGGAGCUCUGGGUCCCAGUGGACUCGGAACCACUUCCGAUACUCGUCGCGUGGAAUUCAACAUCAACUCGGGAACGUCCAUGUCUUGCCCUCACGUGAGCGGUUUAGCGGCUCUCCUCAAGUCUGUGCAUCCGGAAUGGAGCCCCGCGGCAAUUCGAUCGGCUCUCAUGACCACCGCUUACAAUACCUACAAAGACGGCAAACCGAUCCUCGACGUCGCGACGGGAAAACCUUCAACACCGUUCGAGCACGGUGCAGGACACGUGUCGCCCACGGCGGCCGUCAAUCCAGGACUCAUCUACGAUCUAACGACGGAGGAUUAUAUAGAUUUCAUCUGCGCAUCGAAUUAUAAUUCGUCGCUGAUCACAAUCAUAUCGAGAGGCAAUUACGCUUGUCCAAGAAAAACGCACCCCGCAGCUGAUCUAAACUAUCCGUCGUUCGCCGUUAACGUCAAAGGAUCCGGCACGUACAAGUACACCCGCACUGUCACAAACGUGGGAGGAGCUGGGUCAUACUCGGUUAAAGUAACGUCGGAGACAACGGCAGUCAAGAUUUCGGUUGAACCGGCGGUUUUGAAUUUCAAAGAAGUGAACGAGAAGAAAUCGUAUUCGGUAACGUUUACCGUUAUCUCAUCUAAGGCGCCAAUGUCUAACAGCUUCGGGAGCAUUGAAUGGUCAGAUGGGAAACACGUGGUGGCCAGUCCCGUGGCGAUUAGCUGGACAUAGGUGGUCCAUGAAGAAAUAUGGCGACUUGAGUAAGAAGAAAGCAACAGAUAUUGUAAUUUCUCAUGAGCCUUGGAUAUUUAAUGAAAAGUAAAAAAUUGGUAAGUACUAUUUUAGCUGGCUAGUGUGUUAUGAAUAUUCUUAUUUACUAGGCUGUGGACAUUGUAGAUACUGACAAUUAUUAGAUUAGUUUAUGAGAUAUGAAAUAUACUAGGCACUUGAUUCACGUUGCAUGAAUGUGAACCACUCAACGUAGGAAACUAUCACUAAUCAAAUACAUCUAGUGUAUCAUAACAAUGUGAUUACGAUGAGUUAAAAAAUAUGAAUCUAAUAACAUAGAGAAAAAGUAGAAACGACUCUAAGAGCUAAUCAUAACCAACUAGAGGUUUCAUUUCAAGAACCAACAAUAACAAGUUCAUAAACAUGAGGUAAUAAAAGAUAUCAAUCGAAAUAAAUACCUAUCUUCAAACAAACUAUAAAAAUGUAUGGCUUUUGUUAAAAGCAAACUCACCUCUUUCCAGUACACAAAUUUGCAGAGAAAAAUCCAAAAAAAAAAAGAAAAGGAUAAAACAAAUUCACGAAUAGUAACUCAAUUUUGAUCAACGUCCAAUUAAAACCCUGAUAUGUAAUUUUAUUUUCAGAAACCCAUCGUGGCAUUAUCACUCAGAGACUAAUACAAUUGGACCAACCUGCCAGCUUCUGAUGUUGCUAUAUUUUUAUUUUUUUUCUGUUUUAUAAAAAUAAAAACUAAUGUUAAAAGAGAGAAUGUAUCCCUGUAUUGUUAACUAUUGAUAUGAUUUAGUUAGUCUGAUCUGAUGUGAAGACAUGUUAAUUCAUACCAUACAAACCAAAGUCUCAAAUUGCCACCCACAUUAUUUGGAUCCCAACCGUCAAAAGCAUUGGUUAGUUGGUGUCUUCGACGAAACUCAUUGAGAUCUUUGCAAAGUAGUUCGUUUCUUUGCUUCUGUCUUGUGAUGAGCCUUAAAGAUAUUAAUAGACUCACAACUUACAUAAACCCUAAACCUGAUUUUAAAGUUGAGGAGGAUCAUGAACUUUAAAGAUAUUAAUAGACUCAUAACUUUGCUUCUGUUUUGUGAUAAGUUACAGCAGCCGGACUAGGAUCUUCCACCAAUGAACCGAUGCAUGGCUCACACUAAUUUGCUUCUCUUAUCUAAAACAAAUUUCGGGGAAAUAAAGCGAUGAGUAGAGCUUAUUGAUGAUUUUCCCUUUAGAAUCCUCUCACAUUUCAAAUAUAAUUUCAAAUUGUUAUAAGGUAAAACUUUUCUGGCUAGAUUCCAACUAGUAGUUUCGUUCAAAGGGAGAAAAUGAGAUCAAAUUAAAUCGUCUAAUAUUCACUUUGUUUUAAUGGUUUUUAUCCAACCUAUAAACCAUUUUUAUAGUCUCAAACAAGUCACAGUAAACAUCAAAAAGAACACAGGUAAACUUAUGUUCACAGUCACCUAUAAACUAUCUUUAUAGUCUCAAACAAGUCACAGCCAAUAUAUCCAGUAUAGUAAUCAGUGUGAUAUAUUAUUUGAUGUUGAACAUAGGUAAACUUCUCUGAACAAAAGUCUUUAUAUUUUGUCUUUGAACAGAAGUCUUCUAACAUUAAAAUUUACAAAAAGAACAAAAAUAAAUUUAGAGACAAAUCAAAACGGAAAGCAAAACUGAUCACUUUCAAAACAGAAUAGUGGACAGAAGAGUCUAAGAGCACCUCCAGUGCAUUACAUAACAUAAGUACACCACCAAAUAAUCUUCUAGUUAGAGAUAUGAAUUAAAAGGCUAUAUUCACUUAGUCUUAGAUUUUUAUCAAAACAUAUAAACCAUUUUUAUAGAGACUCAACAAGUUGUCAGCAUCAUAGUUAAAAUAUGUUAAUACUAAAUAGAAACAGAGAAUCUUAAAAUAAUAAAACAAUAAUAAUCUCGAGCUAAUACUGAAAUAUAAUAGUCAGUGUAAUUGAAUAUAUAUUAUUUCAUGUUGAACAUAGGUCAACUUAUGUGAACAAAAGUCUUUUAGGUUUUGUCCUCUUUGAAGAUAAGUCUAUAAACCUUAAAAAUUUACGGAAAAAAAAAACAAAAAAAAAAAUCAGAGAGAAAUCAAAAUGUGUGUGUGGAAAACCAACAUAACAUACAAACAAAAUAUACUUUAAAGGAAAUUGGAUUUUAUACAACUACACCAAGUAUAAUCUUCUAGAGUUAUAUAUUAAGGUUAUAUUCACUUAGUGUUAAUGUUUUUUGAACAUCAUAAAGGUCUUCUGAAUCCCUCAUGGCAUGAUGAUUUUAUCAAAACUAUAACCGAUCUUUAUCAUCUCAAACGAGUCACAGUAAAUAUCAGAAUUAAAGAGGUAAUACUAAACAAAAACAUAGAAUCUCAAGAAAAUAAACCAAUAAUUGUCUCGAGAUAAUACCAUAGUAUAGUAAAAAAAAUUGAUAAUCCGGAGUAUCCAAAUCCGAAAGACUAACUGAUUUUUUGGGGUCGAUCCACCGGCCACAGACAAGCUCGUUUACUCUAUAUGAGAGUUACAUAUCCAAGCCGCCUAAAUAUAUGCAGAUGAAUAAAUUUAAAUGGUAGGUUUUGGACUCGGGAUGCUCAGCACGUUUUCGAACCUGUCGUAUCACUCGAUAAUAUAUGUAUGGUUAAUUAUAGUAAUUAGUGUAAGUGGAUAUAUUAUUAUUUCAUGUUGAACAUAGUUAAUAUCAUGUGAACAAAAGUCUUUAUUUUUUGUCUUGAUGAACAAAGUCUACGAAGAUUAAAAUUUACCUAAAAACAAAAGUAAAUUUUAGAGAAGUCGAAAAGAAAAACGAAAGAGAUCACUUUAAAAGCAGAAUAGUGAACAAGAGUGUUAUAGUAAUAUCUCCUCACUCUCUUUCUCGACUCUAUAUAAACUCUCUCGCAUCUUCACAUUUUCCACACAACUUCACAAAACAUGUCUUCUUCGUUUGUCUCAUCCACUGCUUCUUUCUUCUUUAUCGUUCUUCUUUAUCACGGUUCCUUCCACGUCUCCGAUGGAGCUCAACAAGCUACAUUCAUUGUUCACAUGGCGAAAUAUCAGAUGCCCUCAAGCUUCGACCACCACUCUCUCUCUGGUACGAGUCCUCUCUCAAAUCCGUAUCAGAAUCUGCUGAAAUGCUCUACACUUACAACAAUGUAAUUCACGGAUUACUUCCGAAGAAGCUGACUCACUCAUGACCACCGCUUACAAUACCUACAAAGACGGACAACCGAUCAUUGACAUCGGGACGGUAAAACCUUCAACGCCGAUUGGGCACGGUGCAGGACACGUGUCACCGACGACGGCCAUCAGUCCAGGACUCAUCUACGAUCUAACGACUAAGUAUUAUAUAGAUUUCCUCUGCGCAUUGAAUUAUAAUUCGUCGCAGAUAAUAAAAGUAUCGAGAGGCAAUUACACUUGCGAUACAAGGAAAACUUACUCCGUUGCUUAUCUAAACUAUCCAUCGUUUGCCGUUAACGUCGACGGGUCCGACACGUACAAGUACACACGCACGGUCACAGCAGUUAAGAUUUCGGUUGAACCGCCGGAUUUGAUUUUCAAAGAAGUAAACGAGAAGAAAUCGUAUUCGGUAACGUUUACUGUUGACCCGUCGAAGCCGUCAGGGUCUAACAGCUUUGGCAGCAUCGAGUGGUCGGAUGGGAAACACGUGGUAGCCAGUCCAGUGGCAAUUAGCUGGACAUAGUAGUCAAUUACGACUAACUUGAGAAAGAAGAAAGUUACAGAUAUAAAAAAAAAAAAAGAAAGUUACAGAUAUUUAUAUGCCGUUUUCCAUAAGAACUCUGUUUAGCGAAAACGGCAUGAAGUCGGUUUUCUAGGUAAUAUAACAAGAGACUUGAAUAUUUAAUGAAAAGUAAAAAAAUGGUAACGACUAGUUUAGCUGGCUAGUGUGUUAUGACUUUUUUUAUUUACUAGGCUAUCGACAUUGUAAGAUACUGAAAAAUAAAAUGAACAAUAUCAAAUAAAAUAAUAAAGCAAAGAAAUAUCAUUAAAACGAAUCAGCUUAAUAUAUCUUAUUAAAUAAAGUUUACAUAUUCCACGUCACUCUGGAGAGGGGGAGUUUUCUUGCCACGUGUCGCCUCACCAAACAAACGAUUUCUGUGUAAUCCGGUCUUAUUCGAACUGGGCUUUUAUUAAAUUUUAUUAUUAAGCUCAAUAUUAUGUCAAGCUCACGUAUCAUUAGCUAUCUUCUUCCUUUCAAGCUUGCGACUUCCCCGAUGCAAUUUCCAGAAACUUAAAUCGAUGUUCCUAUCUCCGUAUCGUCUCAGCCUUCCAUUAAUCCGUUCUUAACUCAGAGUUUUUGCGUGUUUGAUCCACCCCUCUCACUGCAAAGUUUUGUUUUUGUUAGGGAAAAGGGAUGAAGUCAGAGCGUGCUGCCAAAUUGAUGCUAGAGGCGCUGCUUAUGCUGUUCCUGGCUCUCGCAAGACGGUGACUUGAGGUUCGGCUCCUUUGAAAUCUGUGUGUUCUUUGGUCGUUUAUAUUUUUAGUGCGUUAAGGUGUUAGUUUCUGCUUCUUGAGUUAGUUUUAAGCAAAGUGUUGAGUAUGGUACAACAAUCAAGCAUAAAAAAUCGUCGUUUUUCAGUAAAAUGAAAGUUAGAUUCUUUGAUGUGUGAAUCUGUGGCUAUGAUGUAUUAAAACAUAUUGGUUUGCAGGGAGAUAAUGUUACAAUGAAAUUAAGAUCGUAUGGAUAGUUGGAACCUCAUUUGCAGCUGAAGAAUAAGCAUGUCGGUUCAAGUUUCUUACACACAGCUCCUCAUAGAUGGAAACUUCGUCGACUCUGCUUCUGGUGAGUAAUAUUUUCAUUCAUAAACAUCGGAAUAACAAAGGAAAAUUUUGAAUUUUGAGAUUCAAGUUCCAUGAGCACUAAUGUUUGGUUUUGGAUUGGGAGUUUAAGUAAGACGUUCCCGACUCUUGAUCGACGCACAUGGAAAGUCAUUGUGAACGUAGCUGAAGGCGACACUGAAGAUAUCAACCAGGCGGUGAAAGCUGCAAGGAAGGCCAUUGAUGCGGACCUUGGCCAAAGAUGACCGUUGGAAUUCAUGGACCAUAGUCACCUACAAUGUGGUCACUGAAGCGUUCGGGAGAGAAGGAGCUUGAAAAAAUGGAAUAUUUAUUAAGGCUAAUGCAAUCAGAGAGAAUAAAACAGAGAUGCGUUCACCACUGUCAUUUUAUAAGGAUUUAUUAAAUAUAACUGAUUUUGAAGGGUACUUCUCAAAACUUUAUACUAAUCUCAGAUUAGUCUAUAAGUGAUUUAUAAACUGUACAAAUGAUUUAUUAACUUUUAUAAAAUAUUUAUAGAUCUUUAUAAAUUGUUAUGGACUCUUAUAAAAACUUUAUAGCUUCAAAUAAUGCAUCGAUAAGGUAGCCUUUAUGUUCUUAACAACAAAAAAUACAUUAUUUGUCUUCUACCAUGAUGCAAUCAUAUCUCACUUUUUUUAAAAGGGCAACCGCCUCGACACAAAUAGCAACUACAAUAUUAAAUUUUCAAAUUAAUCAAAAUGGCUAGUUAUAAAUGUCCAUAAAUAAAUUACAACAAUAGCGGUUUCAAAUCAGCAAUGGAACUAUUAUGCUCUCUUAUUUGCGAUCAUAUUUUCUAUUUCUACUGCAUUGAUCAAUGGCUUCGUACCGAUAAAAGUUGUUCCAUAUAUAAGAAAAGUCAUCUAUAUUUCAGAAUUAUUACAAUUUAUAAAGGAGUUUCUUAUGUUCCAAUUUUUAGUUUUAUUUACAUACUGUUUUUUUAAUUUUCGUUUUAAUUUUCAAACAAAAUAUUUUCUCAUUUCCUAAUAUGUUCCAUUGUCAGAAUAGGUUUCUUAUCAAAAAUCAAAUAAGAAGAAUAUAUAUAAAAAAAAAUUCAUUAUAUACGUUUAAAUAAAACAUCAAAUUUACUUUAUGUUUAAAUUUUAAUUAAAUUAACUAUGUAACGACUAUCAAUUUUUUACUCUACUUUUAUUGAAUCGAUUAGUCACAACCACUUAUGCUAUUAUACUUUGAAAUAAGCAAUUUCAAAACAAAUUAAUACAUUACGGUCGUUAACCACUGGACCAGAAAAUAUAUAAUUUUCUUUCAACAAAUUUCUGUUUUCAUAUUUUUGAACAUAUUUUCUUUACUAAAACCAUAAAAUGAAUUGUAAAUUCAUGUAAAAAUAAAACACACGAACCCCGGCGCUUACCACUAGUAUAUAUAUAUAUACACUUAAAAAGUCAUUUUUUUAAUUUGUGUGGGUCUAAGCCAAAGUUGGAAUAUUUUUGCUGUGGUUUUGGAUUCACUAGUUGCCUAGUUGCCAACGUUUUUAGUGGCAGAAAACUCAGGCUUUUAUAAAUUUAGUUGAAUUAUUCUGAUUUUGUCCAGAAAAUUUAACUAGAAAAACAAAUUUUGAAGAAAACUGUUUAAUAAUUUUGAUCUGAGAUUUGGGCUACAUAUAUAUUAUGUGCAUAUGUUCUUUUAUUUUUGAAACUUAUGCGCAUGUGUUCUUUAAAAGGUGAAAUCGAUAGCUCUCUUUCUUUAUCUACUUGAGAGUAUAAUUCUUAAUACUAACUAGAAGAGGGUAAAAAUAGUGAUAUGUGUGUUUUUGGGGUAUGCAAUGCAUUUAACUUUGGCUAUCGAGUCCAAAUAAAUAUAUAUAUAUAUAUAUACUAUCUAUUUGGGAAGUCAACAAAAAAUAAUUAACAAAAAUUGUCGUAGAAAUAAAAAAAUUAAGGGGAAUUUGUCAAAUAUAACUCAAAACUUGAUUUUAACCCCCAAAAUAUCACAAACUUGAAUCAAAUGCAAAAGUAACCCAAAAAGUUUGUGAAAUUACAACCAGCCCCCUAUGGUCAAAAAAAAAACCAUAAUUCACUUUUACGAAUAUAAUCUCGUAAAGUCUUCUGAGAUUUUGUAAGUCCUCUAUGGUUCUGUAAGUUUUCUGGAAGUCUUUUCAUAUAGUAGACCUUAAAAAUAAGGGAGAAUUGCCAAGUGUGACUCAAAACUUGGAGUCAAACCCAAAACAAUACCCCAACUUGGGUCAAACGCAAAAGUAACCUAAAAGGCUAUUGAAAUUACAACUAUCCCCUUGUGACCAAACAAAAAAACGGAAUUUUUUUUACGUUUCUACCCCUCGCAAGUCGUCUGUUUAGACGACUUGAAAAUAAGUCGUCCAGACGACUUAACUGAAAGUCGUCUGGACAGUUAGUCUUAAACAUAAUUUAAAAAUUUUGUAAAAAAUAUUUUGAUAAGUGAAAAAUGGGAAUUAUGUAAUUAACAUAUGUCUUAGGAGGUAUAAAUUAAGAUAUAACAAAUUUCAAUUGUUUUCAGCAUAGAUGAGUGAAAGUAGUGAGUCAUGAUAUUCUUUAGUUUAUGUUUCAUCAACAUAUGUUGUAGUAUUGUAUGUGUUCUUAGGGUUAGAUUUUGGAAAGCAUUAAAACCGUUUUUGAAAAUUUUUAAAAUUACUUAUCCGUGUUCAUUUCUGUGUAUAGUAAACACUAUUUAAGUAUAAUUUGAUUUUAUAACGUGGUUAGUUAGUUAAUCUAGUCAUUUUAGUUUAGGGGUUCAUUUUAGGGUCUAGGACGACUUAAUAUUUUGUCGUCUGAAAACAGACGACUAAAUAUUAAGUCGUCUGUUGUACAUUAUCAGCCAGAAUAAGUCGUCUAAACCGGACCAAACCUUAAAGUUUACCAAUGUACUUUUAAAGCUAACCGGAUUAUUUACCCAAUAUAUAAGGUGAUUUUUUUUUUUUUUGUUUCAUUUUUCGCGAAAUUCAGAAACCCUAACAGUUCUCUCUCAAAGGCGAUUUCGAAUUCCCACGAUUUCCGAACAAACCAUCGUUCUCAACGUCGGCUAUCUAUCUCACUUCAUUCUCACCGUUGUCGCCGCAGCUUCUUCUAACCCUAGCGCCGCCGAUUCCUCUAAACCCUAGCGCCGCCGAUUCCUCUAAACCCUAGCGCCGCCGCUUCCACUAUUUCCGAACAAACCGUCGCCCUCGCCACCGUGGUCACCAACGUUCUCACCGCCGCUUCCUCUAAACACUAGCGCCGCCGCUUCUUCUAAACCCUAGCGCCGCCGCUUCUUCUCUGUAAACCUUAGCGCCGUUUCUCUGUAAACCCUAACGCCGCUAAGUCAUCAAUCUCGAGGAAAAGAUGAACAUAAAACGUUGUCUCUAUCAAUUUACUCAUUCUCACCGUUUCACGUUUAUUUUUUCAGAUCUAUAACCGCAAUGACGAGUACUCCAACUCCUUCUGCGACUGGAAGACUUGUAAGUAAUUUAAGUCGUCCGGCUUUGUCUUCCAACUGGACGACUUAGUAGAUGACUUAAAUAUAAGUCGUCCAUUUGGAAGACUUUCCAGACGACUUAAAUUUAAGUCGUCUACUAAGUCGUCUGGACUUAUAUUGUUGUCUUUGAUUAUUUUGCAGACAAAAAGGAUGGAUAUUCCAGAACUCCCCCGUAGGUUAUACACAUCAGGGGAAGAGCCAGAAGCCCACAAUAGCAUUUCGUAUCAUACGGAUAACAGCAAGUUGCAUACUGCUCUUAGGAAAGCUCUUACUGAUGACGAAUUUGAAGAGCUCAAGGAGUCGAGUUUGGGAGUUUUCAUCAAGUUCAAGGAGCAGGGAUUUGGUUGGGCUUCAAGGCUGGUUCACUACAUGCUCAGUUUCAAGCUGGACAUUAAGAAGAAGUAUGAGAUGUGGUCUCUCGUUGGUCCAGAACCUUUGAGGUUUUCACUGUUAGAGUUUGAAAACCUCACUGGUCUAAACUGCGAGUACAUCGAGGACCUUGAGACACCAAAAUGUGACGUUACCCCAGAGAUGGUUUCUUUCUGGGGGAUGCUGGGAGUUCAUCUGGAAGCUGGGCCAACUACUGAUCAGAUAAUAGCAGCACUGAAGAGAUGCGGGGAUUGGUCCAGGGAAGAUCGCAAGCGGCUCGCGUACCUCUCCAUCUUCACUGGAUUCAUUGAAGGGAGAAAGUUUUCAACCGCUACACGAUCUACUCUGGCAAGGCUAGUGAUGGAUUUAGAACGGUUUGAGAAUUAUCCAUGGGGGAGAGUCGCGUUUAAGGUGCUGAUGGACUCUUUGUGGAACAAAGAAAUUGCUGGCUGUUACACCGUGGAUGGGUUUAUACAAGUUCUUCAAGUCUGGACGUACACAGCUAUGCCGGAAUUGGGUGCUAGUAUUGGUGGUCCCAGAGCAGACAGUCCGUCUCCACCGAUACUGGCUUACGAGGGCAGCAGAGGCCGCAGAUCAAUGAAAGCUGCUAUCUUGAGUCAGGUAUUUACUUCAAUCCAAAAGACUGCGCAGACGACUUAUUAUAAGUCGUCUGGAAGGUCGUCCAGCUUGACGACUUAUUAGACGACUUAUAAUAAGUCGUCUGGAAAGUCUUCCCAGCUGGACGACUUAUCGGACGACUUAAUUAAGUCGUCUGGAAAGUCUUCCAUCUGGACGACUUAUUAGACGACUUAUAAUAAGUCGUCUGGAAAGUCUUCCCAGCUGGACGACUUAUCGGACGACUUAAUUAAGUCGUCUGGAAAGUCUUCCAUCUGGACGACUUAUUAGACGACUUAUUAUAAGUCGUCUGGAAGGUCUUCCAUCUGGACGACUUAUUAGACGACUUAUAAUAAGGCGUCUGGAAAGUCUUCCCAGCUGGACGACUUAUCGGACGACUUAAUUAAGUCGUCUGGAAAGUCUUCCAUCUGGACGACUUAUUAGACGACUUAUUAUAAGUCGUCUGGAAGGUCUUCCAGCUGGACGACUUAGUAGACGACUUAUAAUUAAGUCGUCUAUUUAGUAUUUUUUUUCAAAUAUCUAACUCGAUUCUUCUAUUUACUGCAGACCCGCGUGAUCAACUUUGUUGAGAAGGACAUUAGUGAAAUGUGGCCAAAAUGGGACUCUGAGGUUGAGGACCUGCCCGCGGAGAACAUCAUUAAAGUCAUGUAUGAGCGGAGACCGUGGAAGUGGACCAUGGAUUGCUGGGAAGUCACUGGUACUAAGGUCAAUACAAAACCUAAGGUUGUGACUCCAUCGAAGAAGGCCAAAGAGAUGGUUGUGGUGUAGGAGGAGGAGGAGGAGGAGGAAGACAAUCCAAGACCUCGGAAGAAAGCUCGUAAAGAGGCUCCUAAAGAGGCUAGUGAAGAGGCUAGAGAAGAGGCUAGAGGGGUGACCAGAGAGGAGUUGGAAAUUAUGUUCAAGGGCGUAGCUGACUGCAUGAAAAAAGGGUUUAAUAAGUGCAUGAGGGAGUUUAGGAAGUUGUCCGAUAGAUUGGAAGCUGUGGAGAAGAAGGUUGGUGUCACCAAUCAGGCUACCCCUCCACCUCUAACCAAUCAGGCUACCCCUCAAGAUAAACAGCCUACCCCUCUUGCCAAAGAAACCGGGGGUAGAAACAAACAGGCUACCCCUCAUGCCAAUGAAACCGUGGUUAGUAACCAGCCUCCUCCUCAUCAAACCAAACAGCAGCCUCCUCCUCCUCAAAAGAAACAGCAGCAGCCUCCUCCUCCUCAAAAGAAACAGCCUCCUCCUCAAAAGAAACAGCCUCCUCAAAUCAAAGAGGUUAGUAUCAAAUCCAGGGUUAACUAGUUGUCCAGACGACUGUAAAAGUUGUCUGGACGACUAGUUGACCCUGGACGACUUAAACGUAAGUUGUCUGGACGACUAGUUGACCACGGAAGACUUAAUUUUAAGUCGUCCAGGGUCAACUAGUCGUCCAGACAACUUUUAUUUAAGUCGUCCAGGGUUAACUUGUGUGCAACUUUUAUUGCAGAGAUGGUUGCCGGAGGAUACAGCAACCGAGGCGAACUCGGUAAAUAAGAUCUUGCCGGAGGAUAAAGCAGAUGGUGUCACCUCCAAAGAGAUUGUUGCUGUCACUUCCACCGAUCACCAACCGAGCCUCGCUUCCACCGAUCAACAACCGAGCCUCGCUUCCACCGAGCCAAGCGAUCCAGUUUCAGAACCGAGCCUGGUUGUAUUGGACAAGCGUGCAAAGAGUAAACGAGCGAAGAAACCUGCUCCCACUGUGAGAUCUCCUUAUACGGCAGAGAAAAAAAAAGAUAAAGUGGCAGCCUAUAAUCCAUUUCCGCCAGUAAACAAAGAUAAGUUGAAGGAACUCGCUGAUUGGUUGAAAACUGAUCCGUAAGUGAUUGCUUUACCCAUAAUAGCUUGAUUUAGUCGUCCAAAACUGAUUGCUUUUUUGUUUGCAGUCAUUAUUUAACUAAGACCGAGGACAAACCACGUACAUCACCAACAAGGUGGUACCACUUCCUCCGGACAGCCAGAGGAUGGCUGGAAGACUGCGUAAGUCUUCUGCACACGAUUUAAGUCGUCUACAAAGUCGUCCAAGUAGACUACUUUCCAGACGACUUAAAGAUAAAUCGUCUGGAAAGUCGUCUACUUGGACGACCACGUAGACGACUUAAAUAUAAGUCGUCUUCGUCUGGUAACUUCUAACUUGUUAUAUUUAAUAUGCAGCAUAUAGAUGCUUGGAUUAAUGUGCUAAGGCAGAGGUAUCAGGAGAACCCACAAGCUUUCAGGAGCGAGCGAAUGUGCUUCCUGGAUCACAACUUUUCUCAGUCUUGGAGAGAGCAGUAUCAGCUCUUCAAAACAUCGGAACCUGAUCACAAAGGUUUAGGAAGAGUUCUACCUGGUGGGGCGUCGUAUUUUUAUGACGGAUCAAUACCUUCAUUUUGCCAAUCAAACAAGAAGUGGGGGGAGGACAUUGAUGAUAUCUAUGCGCCAGUGAACUUGGACGACAAGCAUUGGGUUGCUAUUUGGAUAUCGAUCCCUAAGAGGCACAUAGUCGUCUGGGACAGCAUACCUUCAUCUAGUGUACCAGACGCAUGGGAUGCGAUAAUGGAGCCUUUUCUCCAGAUGGUCCCUUAUCUGCUUGUUGAGUGCGCAGCCACCGACGAAAUGCGGGUCAAAUACGGGUUGGAGCCAUACACAUAUGAGAGACCUCUGAAAGGUGUACCCACGGCCAACAAUGGUGAUUGUGGCGUGUACACUGUAAAGUACAUUGAAUGUCAUGCGCUCGGGGGCUCCUUUGACCCUAAAGACUUUGCUAGGUGCAACGCGAAGAAAAUGAGGGAUAAUAUGGCGGUGGAUAUAUGGAAGGAGCUUGUUGAUCAGCAUCUGAAAGAAAAUGUGGAUGGUGAUAAGUUCGUGGGCAUGUAUGAUUAGAUUUGUAUUUGAACAUGAUUUUUUAACAUGAGUUUUGUAUUUGAACAUGAUUUUUUAACAUGAUUUUUGUAUUUGAACAUGAUUUUUUAACAUGAUUUUUGUAUUUGAACAUGAUUUUUUAACAUGAUUUUUGUAUUUGAACAUGAUAUAAGUUGUCUGGAAGAAAUAAGUCGUCUGGAAGGUUUUCCAACUGGACGACUUACAAAUAAGUCGUCUAGAAGGUUUGGACGACUUAUUAUAAGUCGUCUGGAAGGUUUUCCAACUGGACGACUUACAAAUAAGUCGUCUAGAAGGUUUGGACGACUUGAAGGGAUAGUAGAAGGUCGUCUAAAAAUAAAAUACACUUGAAGGGAUAGUAGAAGGUCGUCUAAAAAUAAAAUACACUGGACGACUUAGUAGAAGGUCGUCUAAAAAUAAAAUACACUUGAAGGGAUAGUAGAAGGUCGUCUAAAAAUAAAAUACACUGGACGACUUAGUAGAAGGUCGUCUAAAAAUAAAAUACACUGGACGACUAAAAAUUUAGUCGUCUGGACGGGUAAUCAAGACUGGACGACUUAAAUUUAGGUCGUCUGGACAACUAGUCAACUGGUUGUGUACAUUGUGGUUUCGUAUGGCCAGUUUCCUUGCAGUUUGAGCAUCUCCGUGCCCUGUGUUUCUUCCUGGGUUUGUGUCCUCUCAUCCUAGAUAGCUCCAACCAAGAUUGCCAUCUUGAUUUCUUCGGUCUCCCCCGACCACGCUUUAGUUCUGGAGGAAAGCAUUCUCGUUCCUCAAUAUGUUGUGACACGAUAGGAUAUAUAUUCUCUGAGUAUCCUGCAUACAGAUAAUUCUUUGAGUACAGUGGACAUACAAGUGUGGAGAUAUGCAAACCAGCAUGUAUUCCAGCAGCUAUAGCAUGAGAGCAAGGUAUUUUCUCCACUCCAUAGACACCACAAUCACACUUUGCAUGUUCCAAAUCAACCACACAGUCCAUUUUGCCACCUUUGACAAAGAAAUGCCAUCCAUCAAUUGGUUCAACCGUCAUCGUACCCGCUAUCUCUUCUCGAACAGCAAGCAAGUAUUCAACACCCCCGCUAUGUUCAGUUGUGAGACUCAAAGCAUCUUGUCUCCUUUUCCAAUACCAUUUUCCUAACUUCUGCCUUAUGAACUCCAGCAGGAACGUAAUCGGAAAUCCUCUUGCUCGCUUCAGUGCGGAAUUAAUAGAUUCAGCAAUGUUGCUUGUUUUUAUGUUGAACCUGUUCCCCUUACAAUAAACCCUUGACCAUAGCCUGACGUCGGCUUUCUCCAAAUACGUUGCAAGUUCCGGGUUUGCACUCCGUAUCUCAGCCAUGUACCGGUCAAAAUCGUAAACCGUGUGAGCAUAAGCAGCCCCUUUCACCAAGUACAUGAGAUGUUUCCCUUUAAACUUUUUGACAAUGUUAUCUUGAAGGUGAUAAUAACAUAUUCCUCGGGUUGCCCAAGGAAACACCUUAUCACACGCACUUUUAAUGGCCUUGUGCCGGUCGGAGACUAUCACCAGAGGCUUGUCAUGAGAUAUACAACUAGCCAAUUUUGUGAAAAACCAUUCCCAAGAAGGUAUAUCUUCCUCAUCCACGAUCCCAAAAGCCAAUGGGAAUAUCUGAAAAUUGCCAUCUUGUGCGGCUGCAACUAACAUAGUUCCUCCAUACUUUCCACUUAGGUGAGUUCCAUCCACCACAAUGACCCUUCUCUGAUACUUAAAACCUUUGAUAGAAGCUCCAAAAGAGAGAAAUAGAUACUUAAAUCUUUUCAUAGAAUCAAGUUCUAUCGCCGUGAUAGAAUCAGGAUUUGCAAUGGAGAUUUGCUCGAGAUAUGAUGCCAGACGCGAAUACCCUUCUUCUGCUGAUCCUCUCACCAAUCUUUGUGCAUAUAACAGUGCUCUGUAUGAAGUGGUGUAAUCAAGCGCCAUGCCAAACAUGUUCCUCAUUGCAUCAGUGAUAUGCUGCGGAGUUAUCCCAUCAAUGAUUCCAACACGAUCAAUGAAAAGACUACCUACAUACUUCGGAGUACAGUGUCUCCGCUGAGCGAUUCGGUCUCCCGCUGAGCAUAAAUGUUUUUCCACAUACUUUGUUACCCAAAACGUGUUUGUCCCAUGUUUGACACUCGCUCUGACCUUCCAUCCACAAUAGCUAACCGGACAUGUUGCCACAACGAGAGUUUUCGUUGAUUUGUAUAAUCUGAAAGAAAACUUACCCCUCACUGCUGCCAACCGCAGCUCUGAAAGCAGUGCACCCUUGCUAACAAAACUCUGGUUGACAUAGAUACUGGUACCAUUCGAUUUUCCUCCUUCAAUAGCAUUUGUCUUAGCAUAUGUCUUUUGGAUUUCUUCAAAACAAAUAUUAUCAUCAUCUUCCUCGUCCUCAUCUGGAACCUUUCCAUAAAGACUGUAAUCCCCACCAUUCUGAUCCGUUUCACCAACAAUAGAAUUAUCAGCAUCCUCCUCCCCAUUUUCCUCCUCCCCAUCUUGAUUUUCAUCUUCAACAAACUCAUUAUCACCAACAUCUUCAAAACAUUCAUCAGCUUCAUCAUCAUCACCAACAUCUUCUUCCCAUUCACCAGCUUCAUCAUCAUCACCAACAUCUUCUUCCCAUUCACCAGCUUCAUCAUUAUCACCAACAUCUUUUUCCCAUUCACCAGCUUCAUCAAUAUCCCUUUUCUCUGAAACCGUUUCGACCUUGCUGCGGCUUGAUACACAAAGACAUACUCUAUGGGUUUUGAGUAUCUCCAGCAAGUUUCGAACUUGUCUAUCACUUGUAACAUGAAUGGGAAGACUGCCUGGAGCCAUCAUCAUUUCUGCUGGUAAUGAGUAGCUAAUCUCCACACUCACUGUUCUCAUGUCCAGGUUAUAAUCUUCUUGAGCCAUUGCAACAAGUUCAGCAUGUGUUGAAUCUUCAUUCAAUAAAAACAAUCUUGCUCCUUUGAGAUCAUCAACCACAAAAUCCCAACGGAAAUCUCUCAACAACCAUUCUCCAUACACUGCAUGUAACUGAAAAAUCAUCUGCAAAUAUUCAAAAUAAAACACAUUAGUAAACAUAGAGAAAAUGAAGAAGUUCAAUAAACAUUGCCGCAGACGACUUAGCAUUAAGUCGUCCAGAAGACUUAAAGGUAAGUCGUCUAAAGAGGUCACUUUUGCAAUUGAAAAUUAAAAGGGACGACUUAAUUCUAAGUCGUCCGGCUUUGUUUGUUAAAAAAAAAACUUCAGACGACUUAUAUAUAAGUCGUCUACGAGAAACGGGCUAGUUUUGCAUUUGACCGAAUCGUGUCAGAUCUUUGACUAUUUCUGGACGACUUAUAAUUCAGUCGUCUCUGGGAAAGUUAAAAUUUCAAUAUUUUAUGAAAACUUGACGACUUACGUGUAAGUCGUCCUAGGUUAGUUUUGUAAUUGAAAAAUAAAACUUGAAAUUUAACUUUCUCCAGACGACUUAGAUGAAAGUCGUCCAGCUAAACGACUUAAUUUAAGGUCGUCCGGGAUAAGCAAGGUUUGACCAGAAAAUUGGGAAAAAUUCUGGACGACUUCGCUUUCCCCGGACGACUUUAAAUUAAGUCUUCUGGAGGGACGACUUUAUAUUAAGUCGUCUGGUUAAAGUUAAAUUAUGAAGUUUUAUUUUUCAAUUACAAAACUAACCUAGGACGACUUACACGUAAGUCGUCAAGUUUUCAUAAAAUAUUGAAAUUUUAACUUUCCCAGAGACGACUGAAUUAUAAGUCGUCCAGAAAUAGUCAAAGAUCUGACACGAUUCGGUCAAAUGCAAAACUAGCCCGUUUCUCGUAGACGACGUAUAUAUAAGUCGUCUGGAGUGUUUUUUUUUAACAAACAAAGCUGGACGACUUAAUUUAAGUCGUCCGUUUGACCAGAAGACUCAUCAGUAAGUCUUCUACAUACAGAUGACUUACUAGUAAGUCUUCUACGCGAACAGAUCUUGAAAAAAAAUUCAAAUUCGUACCUUAAACUAGGUGAGAUGACUUUGUUUGCACACAAGGUCUUCUCCAACCACCCAGAACCUCAAACGAAAGCAACCGUAAGUCAAAACGAAAGAAAUAUGGCUCUGUCAACCAUAGCCCAUAUUUUGAAUCAAAAGCUUGAGUUUUUUGGAUGAAUAUAGAGAGAAAGUGAAAGAAAUGUUGUUUUUAGUUCAUAACAAUUGAAACAGAGAGAGUGUAAAGAGAUUUACGUGCAUUAAAGGGCAAUAAAAGCUCCAAACAGUUCGUACAAGGUUGUUGCCACUAUUCAUUGCAGUGGCAAUAUUGUAAAUACUUGAAGAAGAUGAGGUUGAGACAGUAAAGAAGCCAUUUUUGAAAAAAAAAAAAAAAAAUGUUAAUGGCAUUUUCGUAGAUAAAAUGCAGGUGUGGGGUUAAAAUCUCAAAAAAAAAAGGAGUCAAAAGAAAAGGUUAGUUUUCUGUUUGACUCCAAGUUUUGAGUCACUUUUGCAAAAAGCCCUAAAAAUAAUUUAUAAAUUUUGUAAAAACUAUUUUGUUAGAGAAAAAAUUGAAAUCAUGUAACUAUAAACAUUUGUAAGUGAUAUAAACUAAAAUAUAAUAAAAUUGAAUUGUUUUUAAUAUAGAUGAGUGAAAAUAGUGAGUCAUGAUAUUCUUUGGUUUAAGGUUUGACAACAUAUGUUGUAGUAUUGUAUGUAUUCUUAGAGUUAGAUUUUGGAAACUUAAUAUUUUUUGGAAAAAUUAAAUUUUGACAUAUACAUAUUUAGUUUUUAUAUAUUAAAUAUUUUUUAAAUUUAAUGAAAUGUUUGUUUCUAUUUAAUUAGUUAUUUGAGUUUAAGAUUUAUAUUUAGUGUCUAGACGACUUCCACAAAGUCUUCUCUGAAAAUCUUAUAACUCCCGCUAAAAAUAUUUUACUUUCCCGCUAAAAAUAUUUUAGUUUCUAGAAGACUUAAUUGAAAUUCUUCUAGGAAGUUUUCUAUUAGAAGACUUAAAUCGAAAAAAAUUAACCUUAUUAGAAUUUUUGUCUCCCUUUAUAAAGAAAAUUUACACAUUCUCUAUUUUCCUCUCAAAAGACUGCAACAAAAAUGUUAUGUUUCUUAUUCUAAAACUUUCAAACCUCUCUCUAAUCUCUUUGAACUUAAAAAUACCAAACUUUAUAUCAAUUUAUAGUUAUUUCAUGUUUCUUAUUGAUUUAUUUUGUUUUUGCAGAUUUUUCAUUUCAUGGUUCUUAUCUUCCACUCUUUUAAGGGUAGAUCUAUAAAUCUUAUUUUUCUUAUUUGGUAACCUAUUGUUGCUUAAAGAUUUUACCUUUUGAAAACUCUUUUGGUUAUUUUAAAUUCGUACUUUAUUUUUGAAGUUUUUCUAUGUUUUGAACUUUUGGAUAUGCAGGUUUUUUCAGAGCUGAGACAGACAUGGAAGACUUCCAUGGAAGACUUCCAGGGAAGACUUCUCGGAAGUCUUCUACCAUUUAAUGCACUAGAAGAUUUCCUGGAAGUCUUCUGGCGGAAUCUUCUCCCAUGUCUCCUCGUUCAUUUCAGAUAUGAGUGUUUUGGUAAGUAUAUAUGUCUAGAUUUUUCUUCAUUUGGUAACCUCUGGUUGCUUAAACCUUUUAUAUUUUUUACAAUUUAUCAUUUUUUUUGUAAACACCAAACUUUAUAUCAAUUUAUCAUUUUUUGUCUCAUGUCAUUCUCACUAAUUCAUCUUGUUUUGUAGAUUUUUCAUUACAUGGUUCUCAUCUUCCACUCCGUUAAAGGUAAAUCUAUAAAUCAUAUUUUCUUAUUUGGUAAUCUCUUGUUGAUUAAAGCUCUUUCUUUUUGAAAAUUCUUUUGGUUGUUUCAAGCUUUUACCUUAUUUUUGAAGUUUUUAUAUGUUUUGAAGACAUUUGAAUGGUUUUGGAUAUGCAUGUUUUUUAGAUCUAAGACAUAUUUCCUUAAAAAAUCUUCCAAGUCUUCUCGGAAAUCUUCUAACAUUUAAUGUACUAGACGACUUCCUGCAAGUCUUCUGGAAGUCUUCUGACAAAGUUUUCUCCCAUAUCAAGUGGAGUCUAAGCUUGUCUUUGUGGAGGAAUGGGAUAUAAUAGUUUUAUUUAUGGUAUGUUUUGUAAUUUGUAUGUAUACUCUUUUAGUUGUGAAUUCUUUUGUAAAUUUGAAAAAAAUAUUAACAAUUUUUUUGGUAAAUAUGUUCAUGUCUACAAUAUUAUCUUGCCAAAAAUACUUGCAUUAUUAAAGUUAUUUAUACAACUUCAAUAGCAAAACACAAUAAUACAAAAAAAUUAGUCAAAUUUAUUACAACUAAUGGAGAAAACUUCUCAAGAAAACUUAGUCAAAUUCACAAAAGAUCAAACAUUACAUUAGUUCAAACAUAUAACAGUUUCACUAGAAGUCUUGUGGGAAGUCUUCGGGAAGAUUUCUUCUCAGAAAAAAUUUCGGAAGACUUAAAUUUCAAGCAGAAAAUUUAAAUAUAAGCGGGAAAUUUAAGCGGAAAAUUAAAAUUUAAGCGGGAAACUCAAAUUUUAAGUGAAAAUUAAAAUUUCAAAUUUCAUGAAAGUUAAAAAAUAUAUCUUAUGAUCUAAGAAGACACAUCAAACCAUAUGACUUGAUAUUCUUAAAGUUAUUUAACACUUUUGAAAAUUAAAAAAUAUAUAUAUCUUAAAGUUGAAAAUACAAGUUUUACAACAACUAAUGUAGAAAACUUAUGGGAAAGUCUUCUCUCAUUAGGUAGAAACAUUAAGAAGCAUGACUGUUGUUAACUUCAUAAUUAUCACCAAUUAAGUUAUGAAUUUCAUUCAUGAGCCCAAUACAUUAAUUAACAAGAAAAUGUUAAAAAGUCUUUAUAGUUUUAGAGAAAAUAAAAUUUUAUUAAACGUUGACGUAGACGACUUCCACGGAAGUCGUCCGGAAGACUUACACGGAAAUCUUCUGGUCAAUGCGUAGGUUAGUUUUGCAAUUGACUUUAUGUGUCAGAAAUUUGACUUUUCCUAGACGACUUACGGAUAAACAUGUUAGUUUUGCAUUUGACCGUACUGUGUCAGAAAUUUGAUUUUUCCUAAACGGCUUACACGAAAGUCGUCCAAAAGAAAAGUAAAAUUUAAAUAUUUAUAUUUUUCUAGACGACUUCCAUGUAAACCGUUUCAGGUUACUUUUGCAAUUGAAAAAUAAAACUUAAAUAUUUUAUUUUAUCCGGACGACUUCCAUCACAGAAGUCUUCUGACAAACGACUCACACAUAAGUCUUCUGUAAUAACCAAGGUUUGACUAAAAUCUCGGAAUAAAAUCCUGGAAGACUUCCAUGUAAGUCUUCCGACAGACGACUUACAUAGAAGUCUUCUGUAAUAACCAAGGUUUGACUAGAAUAUCGAAAUAAAAUCCUGUAAGACUUUCGUGUAAGUCGUCUACCGGAAGACUUAUAUGGAAAUCAUCUGGAUAAAAUUAAAUAUUUAAGUUUUAAUUUUCAAUUGAAAAAGUAACCUGAAACGACUUAUUUGGAAGGUGUCUAGUAAAAGUUAAAUAUUUAAUUUUUAUUUUUCUGUUGGACGACUUCCGUGUAAGUUGUCUAGGAAAAGUCAAAUUUCUGACACAAUCCGGUCAAAUCCAAAACUGACAUGUUUAUCCUAGACGAUUUACCGGGAAGUCUUCUUUAAUUUUUUUGAAAACAAAGAAAACCGGAAGACUUCCAGAUAAGUCGUCUAGAAAAGAUACACAUAAAGUCAAUUGUGAAACUAACAUAUGCAUUGACCAGAGCAAAACUAACACAUGCAUUGACCAGAAGACUUCCGUGUAAGUCUUCUCGUCGGAGAAGACUUACACGUAAGUCUUCUGACAGACAGAUCUGGAAAAAAAAUUGAUUUCAUAACUUUAACCAGUGAGAUAACUUGUUUAGCUUCUCCAACCACACAAUACUUCACCACCAAAGCAACCUACUUGACCACGAAUCAUGAGCUUGAAUGGUUCGAAGAACCUUAAUAAUUUUAGAAUCAAAAUCUUGGGUUUUAUUAGAUGAAUAUAGAGAGAAAGUGAAACAGAUGUUUUUUUUAGUUCAUAAGAAAUAAGAUAAAGGAGUAAUCGAUUUUUAGGUGCAUUAAAAGCUUCAAAUUGGUUGUUCAUGGUGGUUGGUGUAUUGAUGGCAAUGACAAUAUUGUAAAUACUUGAAGAAGAUGGAGAUGAGAGAGUAAAACACUUAUUUUCGAAAAGAAAAAAAUAAUAAUAGCAUUUUCGUAAAUAAUCCGAACUUUUGGAGUGAAUAAGGCAAAUGAAAGUUCCAAAAAAACGUGGAUUAGUUUUGUGUUUGACUUCGAGUUUUGAGCCAUAUUUGCAAAAAUUAAAAUGAAAAAUUUGGAGUAACUAUUUAUUAAUAUAUAGAAAUAUAAAAGGUAUAGUAAAAAGUUAAAAUGUUAAAAUUAAAUUGAUAUCUAUAUUAACUCACUAAAAGUUUACAUCAAUAGAUUUUUACAGAAAAAGUUCACAAGUUUAUUUUUAGAAUAUAGUCUACAUGUUAUUGAGAAUGUUCAAGUAAACUUGUAAAAUAUAAAAACAAAUAUGGAAAAUUAAUGUCAUAAUUUAUUUAUUUUUAAAAUAUCAAUAUUUUUCAUAGAAGCAAAAUAUUUUCUUAAAUGUGAAAUAUUCAGUCAACAUAAAAAUAUUUAAUGUAUUAAAAAUACAAAAAAAAAUUAUUAAUAUAUAUAAAUUUAAAAGGUAUAGUAAAAACUAAAAACAAAUGUUAAAUUAAUUUGCUAUCAAUAUUAAUUUACAGGAAAAUUAGCAUCGAUAUAUUUUAACAGAAAAAAAGUUCACAAGUUUAUUUUACGAUAUAGACUAUAUGUUAUUGAGAAUGUUCACAUAGACUUUAAAAAUAUCAACAAAAUAUGAAAAUAACCAUUAUAAUUUAUUUCUUUUUAAAAUAUCGAGGGUUUUCAAAAAUAAAAAAAAUAUUACUAUGAAAUAAAAUGAACAUAAACAUCAAAUAUUGUAAACAAACAAAGAGAAAGUUAUCAAAAAUGAAUUAACUUGAUGUAGAUUUUUAUUCUGUAGAAGAGUAACAUUAAAAGAUAUUAAUAAAAACAUAAUAUAUCAUAUAUACCAAAAUAAAAUAGAUAACUAAUCUAUCAAAAUUAACCUAAUAAAAAAAUUAAAAGAAAAUUAAGAUGAAUUUUUGUAUGGGAACUUUUCUUAUUUCAAAAUUUUUGGUAUCAAUUUAAGUAAUAAUCUAAAUUUGGCAUCGUACUGAGUUGUUAAAUGCCAAUGAGUCUGAGAUGGUUGCAGUUAAAGAGAGGUUGCGGGAAAAUGUGGAAGAUGUCAGUUUCUGGAGAAGAAGCUCGGGUUUUAACGAUAAGUUUUCUACCCAGGAGACUGGUUUUUAACUCGUACCUCUGAUGCUCAUAUUGAUUGGGUACAAGCUGUUUGGUUCUUGCAGAUUACACCCAAGUAUGCUUUUAUUACAUGGUUAGCCAUGUUGGAUAGGCUAAGUACUAUGGACAGGGUUGCGAGAUGGAAUAGUGGUGUUGAUGUUACUUGUGCUCUUUGUAAGAAUGCUGCAGAGUCUCGUAGUCAUCUGUUCUUCGAGUGCUCUUACUCUUCUCAGAUAUGGGAGCAUCUUAUGCUUGGCAUCCUUAGGGGUUCGUAUACAAUUGACUGGAAUGCAAUUGUGGCUUUUCUUAAACAGUCUGAUAGAGAUAAGAAGAGAUCCUUUUGUUUGAGAUAUGGCUUUUAAACCAUCAUCUAUGUGAUAUGGCGUGAAAGGAAUAAGAUUAAGCACGGAGAAAGUCCAUUGCCUAUGAAUGCAGUGAAGAAGCUUAUUGAUAAGAGAGUUAGGAACAAGUUAAGCCUACUGAGAUCAAGAGGAGGUAAGGGUAUGGAAUCUGCCCUUCAAUAUUGGUUUAGCACAAGGACAUGAGGUUUGGAGGUUUGGGAAUACUUUGGAGGUUUGGGAGGGUUUGAAGUUAUUGAGUUUAAAGAUAGGAUUUCCUUUGUUAAGGUCUACACUCUGAUGUAAAAAAACUUUUUUGAUGAAUAAAAUUUAACAUUCAUUCAAAAAAAAAAAAUCUAAAUCUAUAUAUAUAAAAAAAUAUUUUCCUCCCUCCUAUUGCGCCACGUCAUAAAGUCAUUGAUUGUGAGUGCGACACCUGUCUUCUUUGCCUAAAACUCAUCGUUUCAUUAACUUAUGAUGUGGGCUGCUGCGUUUCAUAAUUGUUUACGAUUUAGUGGGCUUUUUGUUCACACCGUGAUAUAGCCCAAAUACAGAGAGAUAGCCACUAUAAUGAAAACAUAUGUAAAGACUGAAACUUUUGAAACGAGAAGGAAAAGAAGGAGUGUACCGUGAGUUUCUGGAUGCUACUGACUUCGCCUUGGUUGGAGGCGAUAUCAACGGUGACGGUUCAUUUCGCUGCCACCUCUGGUAACUCAAUAACAUUCAAGAUUUUAAAAUUAUUGGCGAUGGGUUUUGCAGAGUAUGAAGAGGCAGAGGGAAGAGGAUGAUGAGCAACAACAGUGAAGAGGUUAAAAAAGAAAAUUGAACCAAUUAAUAAAAAUAUUCCACAGUUUAAGCGGCGAGUAAAUCAGAUCGGUUUCUCAAUUCCGCUAUGACUCGAUCAAGAGAGAAAUAUAGUUUUUUCCAAAGAAACAUAGAUAUUAUCAAAGCAAAGAUUGCUCCGAACGAAUCAUAAGAAGAUAAGGAAGCAAUCAAAGGUUUUUAUUUCAUUUUUUAAUUAGUUAUUUGGAGUUAACAUGAAUGGAAGUGCCAUACACGCGCAGAGACAUGCGUGUUGGUGGGAUAUGAGAUACAUAUUUUAAACUUAAAAGGGAAAAAGACAGGAAGCAAUGCGUUCUAUGCACAUUGGGUCUUUUCUUUUGAGCCUUUUGUUUCAAAUAAAAACGACAGGACAUAACCGGAUUUACUUCGGUUUAAUUUAGAUUCGAUUCAACUUAAAUGCAUGCAUGAUUUUAAGCUACACAAGUUUUAUUCAAUAAAUAAACCAACAGAAAAUUUUAUUGUAAGAAAUUGGGUUAAUUGGAAUUCAUAAGGCAGAAAACAAUAAAUAAUUAAAAAUAAUUUUAUAAUUAUCUAGCUACUUAUAUUUAUAUAAUAUUUAUAUAUCAAAAUAGCAUAAAUAUACGAUUAUAAUUAAUAUUUAAAUAAAAAAUCCGGGCGUAAUUAACCCGGGCCGACCCUAGUUUAUAAUAUAUUUCAAAGUAUCUAAAAUAAACUAAAACGACUGAUGAUUUUAGUUCUUUUCUUUCUACCGAUCCACUUCAUUCUUUAGCUUUCAAUGAGUUUACAAAACUUUUGUUGAAAAACCACAGAUAAGAACAAUAUUGAGACACAUAUUGUUAAAAAGAUAGUUUAUCAAUGAGUUUAAGCUGUUUUUUAUCAAUCAAAAGGAAUUUAUAAAGUUGUUUUUAAUAGUCAACACUAUUAUAUUAUGUUUUGAGACAAUCAAAACCUUCAAACAAAUCAAAUAGGGUAUUAUGAAGUAAACUUAAAGAUGGGUGUACUCUAUACUUUAUUUUUUUAAAUUACAUCAUUAACAAUACAGCAAAUUACAUGUUAACUUCUUAUAAACAUAUAAUCCGAGUAACCAAUAAAAAGUAUAAAAUGAAUGCUUAUGUCAAUUUUAGUGAAGAAACCCGUACAAUAUAUAAAAUUAAAGAUGGUCUCAGACGAGUUUGUCAAACAAAUAUAUUUAGAGGAUAAUAUUUAUAAGAUAGGUGAAAAAUAAUCAAAAUAAACUUUCUAAAUAAGUUUCUAAAAUUACAGAAAGUAAAUAUAGACUCCACAAAAACAUAAGAGAGUGAUAUAAAAAUAGUCAAUAUACUAACAACAAAGUAAAAACAGUGAAAUUUUACAAAAUUCUAUAAAAAGUUCAAAAUUAAAAUAAUUAUGCCAUGUAAGAAAGGGCCCCUGUAAGAAAUCUACUAAAACUUUACUCUAAAUUACCAGAUGAAAGCAAUUGUCAGGAUUCAAAAAGUCUUAAGAAGCUUCAUGUAUUAUAAAAAUAUUUACAAUAGUAUUCUAGUUAAAUAAAGCUAUGUAUUAAAACAUUUAUCUUAAAUAUUUAUAAUCUUUAUCAUAAAUCUUUACAAUAUCUGUAAAUCUUAAUUUAAAAUUAAUUAAACAAUAAAAUUUCAACUAAAAUAUGUGCAAAAAAAUAUAAAAGAUCACACAUUUAUUGUAUAACUCUCAUAAGUAAAAAAGUAAAAUAAAUAAUAUGCAUAUAAAUUAAUCGUUUAUAAAAUAAGUAAAAAUUAUAAAAAAAAAUAUUUGCAAUAGUAUAGUAGCGGUUUAUAUGCAUUGAGUAAUUUAUACAGUAUUUAAAAAAUGGCAAUUCUCUCAAAUAGACUUUUUUAAGUUUUUAUCACAAAAAUAGCCCUCAAAAAAUAAAAUGACCAAAAUAACCUUUUUAUUUUGAAAAUUUUAAUAUUUUUUUUAUUUUUAAAAAUUUGAAUCUAUCCCCAAAGCCCAACCCCUUAACUCUAAACCCUAAGUCUUAGAUUAGUUAACUCUAAGGGUAUAAAUGCAUAUUUACCUUUCAAUAAAAUUUCUUUUGGUCAUUUUCUUUCUUGGAAGUCUAUUUUUGUGAAAAUAAACUAAAAAGGGCUAUCUAAGAGAAUUUCUCUUUAAAAAAUAAAAUUUUAUAUAAUAAAUAUAAAAAUGAUUAUAAAUAAAAUUUUAGUUUUAAAAAUACAGACAAAUAUAUACUAAAUAGUAAUUAUUUUCAAGAGUAUAAUUUUAUAAACAAAAUAAACGUAACUAGUAAAUUAUUAUAUUAUAUUUUAAAUAAAUUUUCCAAGAAAUAAAAUUUAUAUAAAUAAAAAUUUAUAAAUCAGUUCUAGUUGAAAACUUUUUUUAAAAAAAUUUAAACAAAAUUAUUAAUACAGAUUCGUGCGUAGCGAACAUAAAAUAUAGUUCACAUAAAAAGAUUAUGUGAUAGGAAAUUAUCGCUCAAGAUUGGUCCCAAGCAUAGGCUAUUGAAACACUGGCUUAUAAUUUCCAAAAUAUUAGGAAAAAUUUACAUAUAUAUAGAUCUUUAAAUUUGCAAAAAAAAAGAUUAUGUAAUUUUUUUUUAAAUUAACUACAACCUCUAAAAUUUCAGGUAUGCACUACUAUGAUAACAUAAAAGAAAGUUAGAAACAACAAUGAAAUACGUCAUUUCUUGCGGCCCUUUUACAAACAAAACAAAGCCAUCCCGUAAGGCACGCAUGAGCCACUUGCGGCCCUUUUUACACACAAACAAAACCAUCCCACAAGGCACGCAUGAGUCAUUAGCAAUGAACAAUAGUGCCAUCGUAAAAAAAAACAGUAGCAAAAUCGAUAAAAUAGGAAAGUUCAAAAUAUAGUUGUACUUGUGAUUUGCACCAGAAGUUUCAAUGGUUUUUCUCAUAGUGCCUUAUGUAAAGAACAGUUUUUAUAAGUAAUACCUAGUACGUACUGUAUAUAUAUGUAUUAAGCACAGCAAAGUUAUCACCGGUUCUAAACUUUUUCUUCGGUUCUAAUAUUCUCCCUCUGAACGAAACUAAUAUCCAAACAUGCAAAGAAUCGGGAGGAUUGGGAAGGUCAAAGAAAAUAACACACGACCGGUAAAUGUGGAAGAAACACGAGAAUAGUGGUGGUUUUGGAGACGGAAGAAAGAGAAACGGUAAACCAAGUCAUCUUGGUCUAGUGGUAAAAGGAUUCCAGUUGGAGUUUUCGUUCUGGUUUCGAGUAGCAUUAGCCACCUGUAGACACUCUAAGUGGCGAGAAAACUCGGAUUUCUAUGGACCUCGUAGGAUUAUUCUUUGGGCUUAAAAAGCCUUUGAAAUCCCCACGAUUAUCAGAAGAAAAAAAAAUAGUACAAGCAAAACCAUAAAAAAAGGAAGAAGAGAGAGAAAGAGGAGAGUUCUCGUACGGUACGGUAGACGAAAGGCCGUACUGACGAUGGAGGUUAAAUCUCAUCCUAAACGGGUUGAGAGAGUUUCACCUUUUGUUUUUACCGCAAACUCAGUGUACUCCUCAGUAUAGUUAAACAGUGAUAAUAUCUAGAUAAUAAAAGUAUAGUGAUCAGUUUAAUCGGAUGUAUUAUGUUGAAGCAAGUACAUCGCAUCAAUUGGGUCAUAUCAAGUGUGUCACAUAAAGUUUAUGGAUCUUACAUCUGAUUGUUGAGCUUAAGGCCGUGUAUCUGAUGAGCCCUAGAGUUUUAGGAUGCGGAAUAACUUUUAUAUAUAUCAUGUAUUCUUGUAAUCCUAAAAUAAAUUGAAUAUUGCCUCCAAAUAACAAAAAAAAAUUAUUUCUAGGCAUAGCCAAAUUGAUGAACCACAUUACAUAUAUUGUUGUAUCUUUGUUCAUAUAUAUUGUUGUGUCUUUGUUACAUCAUUUUAUCAUUUGUUUUAAUGCAACAUCACGACCAGUCUUAUGUUUUAAGAUUUGAGUUACAGUUAUAAAUAAAGUUUCUAUCAAAAAUACAAGUGAAAAUAAUAAAAUCCUAAACACUCCACGUACAGAUUUAUGUUAUAUGUUAUACUUUUUGUUUGUAUAUAAACUAUUAUUUAUAUUUCCAAAACCACCAUAGCAAUAUCUUAUUCUUAUUUCUACAAAUAAACAAUAUUAUCAACUUCAUCUAAUUUUGUGUUAGUCAAAUAUUUUUAUUUCCUUUCUUGUUCCUAUUUUUGAAUUAUUAGUUUUAAAAUUAUUAUUUUACAUAAUCUUAUUAGUUGUAAAUUCUUUUGGAUUGGAAAUAUAUAAAUUAUUUUGUUAUUGAUAUCGGAUAAAUAAUAUCAUCAGUAAGUAUAGUUCUUAGAAGAAUAUAUAUUGCAACUUAUUUUUGUUAAAAAUUAUUUUUAUACAUAUUAAAAAUAAGUUUUUAUUAUUUAUUUAUUUUUAAAUAGUUUAAUAGUUUUUGUUAUUAAUAAUAAUUCAUUAUUAUAUAUUUAUAUUUAUAUUUAUUUUAUUAAAAACUACUCUGGAACUUAUACAUCAAAAAUGUUACCAGUCAUCAGUUUUACUAAAAUAGUAACUCUUGUUUUUACUAAAAAUUUACCAUAUAAAAUUACAGUUUUUAUCACAUAAUUUUUACUGCAAGUUAUAUCGAAUUGUAAUACAUAUUGCAACUCGACUUCAAUAUUAUAUAUCAACAAACGGAGCCUUUGUUUCCAUAUAUCUGUAACAACAUACUAUCUCAUGUUGAGCAUAGGUAGACUUAUGUGAACAAAAGUCUUUAAUGUUUGUCUCAGGUGAAGAGAAGUCUCAAAACCAUAGUAUUUACGGGAAAAAAUCAAAUGUGUGUGGGAAAACCAAUGUAACUUGCAAACAAAAUAUACGUUAAUAGAAAUUUGGACUUUACAUAAGUACAGCAAAUAGUCUUUAGUUAUGAAUUAAAAGGCUAUAUUCACUAUUUCACUUAGUUAAUGGGUUUCGAACAUCAUUAUGGUUUUCUUAACACCACAUGGCAUGAAGAUUCUAUGAGAAUCUAAGAAUGAAAUGAUUAAGAUAGAACUUGAGUAGAUUAUGAGAGAUUAUGAAGAGUUUAGUGUAGAAUCAUGAUUGAGAGAGUAUGAUAAGAUAAAGAGAAACUCAGAACUGUAUAUUUAUUAUUAAUGACAAGAGUUGCAAUAUAUAGUGAGAGAUCAGUAGGGUUUUCGAAAUCAUAAAGGAUAGCUAAGCAUGUGAAGUCAACAAGGUUAGGAUAAGCUCUCUUUAACUCGGCCAAUCAGCGUUCCCACAUGCUUGGAGCAUCUAGGAUCUUGGACAAAGAUGCUCUUGCCUUUCCAGCUGUGCCAGCCUGUAAAGCCGCGCCUCUCUUAUCCUCCAACGGUCUGAUUCAUCAGCCAAAGCCCCUUCUCUUCCCAUAAGUUACUCGGGUAACUCCUUGUAACCGCGGUCAUGGUUUCACUGGUCUGAAUGUGUACGGACCGUACGGCCUUGUACGGCCUUGUACGGUCAGGCCACUGUGAACCUCUCCCAUCACACCAAUGCUUAACACACUCUCUUCAGUCUUAACCCCUUUGUACUUCACACUUGUAUACUCAACUCUUCUCAACACUCCCCCUCAAGCUUAGCUUUGUGAUACCUACAAGGGUAUUGAAGGAUCAAGCACCAUUUGAGGUACUGAACCAGCGCAAGCCAUCUUUGACAUAUAUGAGAGUGUUUGGAUGCUUGUGUUAUGUGUUGGUACCAGGAGAGUUGAGGAACAAGCUAGAAGCAAGAAGCAGAAAGGCAAUGUUCAUUGGCUACUCAACAACUCAAAAAGGAUAUAAGUGUUAUGAUCCAGAAGCUAGAAGGGUACUUGUAUCUAGAGAUGUGAAGUUCAUUGAAGNNNNNNNNNNNNNNNNNNNNNNNNNNNNNNNNNNNNNNNNNNNNNNNNNNNNNNNNNNNNNNNNNNNNNNNNNNNNNNNNNNNNNNNNNNNNNNNNNNNNNNNNNNNNNNNNNNNNNNNNNNNNNNNNNNNNNNNNNNNNNNNNNNNNNNNNNNNNNNNNNNNNNNNNNNNNNNNNNNNNNNNNNNNNNNNNNNNNNNNNNNNNNNNNNNNNNNNNNNNNNNNNNNNNNNNNNNNNNNNNNNNNNNNNNNNNNNNNNNNNNNNNNNNNNNNNNNNNNNNNNNNNNNNNNNNNNNNNNNNNNNNNNNNNNNNNNNNNNNNNNNNNNNNNNNNNNNNNNNNNNNNNNNNNNNNNNNNNNNNNNNNNNNNNNNNNNNNNNNNAACAAAGUAUGGUCUAGUUCAGACUUCCUGAAGCCUUUUCCAUUCAGUGUAGUACUCAGCUUGUGAUACCAGGCUCUAGGUGAUUGCUUCAAUCCAUAGAUAGCCUUCUUCAACCUUAGGACAUUCCCUGGCUUCACAAGACUCUCAAGACCCGGAAGAGGCUGCAUAUACACUUCAUCUUCAAGUUCCCCUUGUAGAAAUGCAUUCUUCACAUCCAUUUGCCACAAUCCCCAUUCAAGGUUGGUAGCAAUUGAUAAGAUGAUUCGGAUGGUGUGAAGCUUAGCCACUGGAGCAAAUGUGUCUAUGUAGUCCUCUCCAUAUGUCUGUGUAAACCCUCUAGCCACAAGCCUGGUCUUCUUCCUAUCAACUGUCCCAUCUGGUCUAUACUUGAUUGUAAAUAUCCAUUUACAUGACACUGCUCUCUUCCCUUUAGGCAGCUCACUCUCAUACCAAGUCCCAUUCUUGAUCAUAGCAUCAGACUCAUCCGCAACUGAGUUCCUCCAGUCUUCAUCCUUUAUAGCCUCCCCAUACGUUCUUGGUAUGUAGCUCUCAUCCAGACUUGUUAUGAAUGCACAAUGAUCCCUUGGAAACUCGGCAAAAGAGCACACUGCCUGACUUGGAUGAGCUACUGCUUGUGCAUUGUAGUAGACCCUGGUGUUUGCCCAGUUAGAUGGAUCUUUCCUUACUCUUGUACUCCUCCUCAGAGGCGCAGGCACACUCUCCACAACUGGAGCACUAGUCAUGUUCUCCAUUUCUUCUUCCUCUUCUUCAGGUACAAGUGGUGUACCUCCACUUUGAUCCCUUACUUCACUUGACUCUUCAUCAUUGAUCCCACUUUGAUCAUGACUAGCUGAGUCUCUUCCUUCUUCAUGUACCGCCUCAGACUUGUCUUCCCCCUCAUGAUCAAUGUGGGAUGUUUCUUCAGCUUCAUUCCUAGUAGGCGUCUCUUGCGCCUUUGGAUCCUGGGUUAGAUUAAUCCCAAGACCCUCUAAGAUCAUCCUAAGGCUUGUAGCCUUAUCAGAUGUUUGAGCUAGAUCCUUCAGAUCUUCCCAGCUCCUUUCUUCAUAGUAUCCUCUUGUUUCAAUGAACUUGACAUCUCUUGAUACCAGAACUCUUCUUGAUUCUGGAUCAAAGCAUUUAUACCCCUUUUGAGUAGUUGAGUAUCCCACAAACAUUGCUUUAGUACUCCUCGGUUCCAACUUGUUUCUCAUCUCCCCGGGGACAAGUACAUAACACAAACACCCAAACACUUUAAGAUGACUUAGAGAUGGCUUGGUCUUGUUCAAUACUUCAAACGGUGACUGAUCUUCCAAGAUUCUUGUAGGCACCCGGUUGAUCAAAUAGCACGCAGCUUGUACAGCAUCACUCCAAAAUCUCUUAGGUGCAUUGGUUUGGAACAUCAUGGAUCUAGCUACUUCCAUUAGGUGUCUAUUCUUUCUCUCCGCAACCCCAUUCUGUUGUGGAGUAUAAGGACAGCUUGUUUGAUGUAGAAUCCCAUGUAGAGCCAGAUGUUGCUUGAAGGCAUGACUUGUGUAUUCUCCACCAUUAUCUGAUCUGAAAAUCUUAAGCUUAGCAUUGUACUGGUUAGUUACAUAAGUCUGAAAAUUCUUAAAUGCUUCAAGAACUCUAUCCUUAGUCUUUAUAAGUGUUAUCCAGGUGUAUUUAGAUUUUUCAUCAAUGAAUGUGACAAAGUACUUAUAGUUUUCUCUAGAUAAGCAAGGAGCAGUCCAUACAUCAGAAUGUACAAGGUCAAAACACUUCUCAUAGAUAGUACUUGAUUUCUUAAAGACAGUCUUACAAUGUUUUCCCAAAAUACAUGCCUCACAAUCAUUAUUUUUAAACAUGACACCUGGUAACAUUAAGCUUAAGGCUCUAACAUGUGGAUGACCUAAUCUAGCAUGCCAUAAUGCAUCAUUAUUGAUACUUGAACUAGAACUAAACGAGCAAAUUGAACUGGAAAUAGGAGCUAAGUCUUCUAGCAUAUAGAGUUCUCCCUUUGUCACUCCUUUGCCAAUCAUCUUACUUGUCUCAAUAUCCUGAAACUUCACAUCAUUAGGACUGAAUAUAACAUUGCAAUGUAAAUCAGUAGUGCAUUUCUUAACAGAUAACAAGUUUGAUGUGAAUUCAGGCAUAUAAAGAGCUCUAGACUCUUUAUUAAACAGUUUUAGAUUUCCUAUUCCUGUUAUUGCAAUCCUAUCACCAUUAGCAAUCAUUACAUGACCCUGAGCAGGUUCUAUGUCUUUAAUCAAGCUAUUAUCACUAAUCAUGUGAUGGGAAGCACCUGAAUCUACAAUCAGUGAUUUUAUUACAUUAUGCGCAGCAAAGGUACUUGGUUGUCUCAGGUUAUCUAAUCUAGAUGCACCACUUAACUUGAAUUCAGGAUCACUACUGAGAUGAGCACAAGUCCUAUCUAGGUAUGAUGCAGCAAGAGAGUAACAAGGGUUAUUUCCAAUACAGUUACCAUUCUCCUUGAGAGCUUUGAUGAGGGCGUCUAUGUCUGAUCUCCGGAUCAACUCGCCUUCAGUGCUCCUCAAGGGUGUGUGCUGAGUAGUUAAGGCUCUCCCCUCACCCUCACGCAUUGCUGAGCCAGCCCCGGAUGAGCUAGCUUCUCCUCCUUCAUUAGAUAGGUGCGCCCUUGCCUCUCUAUCUUUCAUGAACUUAGCUGGCUUGAGAUGAGGAUGUAGGAUCCAGCACUGGCUCCUUUUGUGACCUAGCUUCUUGCAAUGAUCACAGUUGCCCCCAAACUUCCUCUCCUCACUCUUGUAUGCCGCUUUGUUUGCUUGAGCUCCAUCCGCAUGGUUAGCUAAGGUGAGCUCCCCCUUUCCUCCAAACAGCCCCACUGACCCUUCUUCUUUCUGUAUCUGAGCGCACACAUCUUCAAGUGAUGGUAGCUUUGGAGACCUCAGUAUGUGUUUGAUCAGAUCGUUAAAGAUAGGGUUCAAUGUCAGCAACAGCCCAAACACUUGAUCUUGAGCCCUCCUCUCCAUAAGAGUGUCAUGAUCAGUGGUGUUGGGUCUCAGCAUUUCUAGUUCAGACCAUAAGGCUCUGAACUUUCCCAAAUGCUUUACUCAACCUCUUCUUGCGCAAGUGUGUUGAUUGAUCUCUUCAACUCAAACACCCGGCUCAGAUUGGAUGUGUUCCCAUAGACCUUUUGAAGAGUAUCCCACAGGUCUUUUGGCGUCUCACAGUAGAUGUAGGCCUCCAAGAUUGAAGCUUCAAGCGACCCAUGAAGAACUGUCAACACCUUCAAGUCGUCUUGAUCCCACUUCUCUUGGUCCGCUACCAUCAGCUCUUGACCGCCUUCUCCCUCCGUAGAAACUGGCUUUGGAGUUCCAUCUGAGAUGUGACUCCACAAACCCUUGCUCCCAACUGCAGCUUUCACCAGGCGAGACCACAGCAAGUAGUUCCCACCUCCUUUCAACGUAACCGGAACCGUCAAAGUCUUGUUCUUGUCUUCCAUGAGUGUGACCGUGAGUAGAGAUGGUUUAGGAAUGAAGAUGGAGACUCUAGAGAUUUAGAAACCAGGAAAUGAGUAACCUGGCUCUGAUACCAUAUAAGAAUCUAAGAAUGAAAUGAUUAAGAUAGAACUUGGGUAGAUUAUGAGAGAUUAUGAAGAGUUUAGUGUAGAAUCAUGAUUGAGAGAGUAUGAUAAGAGAAAGGGAAACUCAGAACUGUAUGUUUAUUAUUAAUGACAAGAGUUACAAUAUAUAGUGAGAGAUCAGUAGGGUUUUCGAAAUCAUAAAGGAGAGCUAAGCAUGUGAAGUCAACAAGGUUAGGAUAAGCUCUCUUUAACUCGGCCAAUCAGCGUUCCCACAUGCUUGGAGCAUCUAGGAUCUUGGACAAAGAUGCUCUUGCCUUUCCAGCUGUGCCAGCCUGUAAAGCCGCGCCUCUCUUAUCCUCCAACGGUCUGAUUCAUCAGCCAAAGCCCCUUCUCUUCCUAUAAGUUACUCGGGUAACUCCUUGUAACCGCGGUCAAAGUUUCACUUGUCUGAAUGUGUACGGACCGUACGGCCUUGUACGGCCUUGUACGGUCAGGCCAAUGUGAACCUCUCCCAUCACACCAAUGCUUAACAUACUCUCUUCAGUCUUAACCCCUUUGUACUUCACACUUGUAUACUCAACUCUUCUCAACGGAUUCUAUCAAACCUAUAAACCAUCUUUAUAGUCUCAAACAAGUUAUAGUAAAUAUUUUCGACCAAAAAAGUUAUAGUGCAUAUGAAAAUUAAAAGACGUUAGUAUUAAAUAGAAACAAAGAAUCUCAAGAUAAUAAAACAAUAAUAAUCUCGAGAUAAUACUAAACUAUUAGUAAUUAGUGUAACUGGACAUAGGUAAACUUAUGUGAAAAGAAAAAGAGUCUUUACUUUUUGUCUUUGGUGAACAGAAGUCUUCGAACAUUAAAAUUUACAGAAAAAAAAAACAAUAAAUUUAGAGACAUAUCAAAAAGGAAAAACAAAAGUGGUCACUUUCAAAGCAGAAUAGUGGACACUUAACCGUGUUUAAGGGUUUUGAUGGUUUUCAAUAUUUUAUUCCCCUGGACAUUAUUAUUUGCAUGUGUCAUUACCACAUUUAUUUCACAAAAACAAUGACAUAGUUUUAAAAAAAACUGUGACAUUGCAUUAAGCUGAUUGUGACAUGUAAAAUUUCUUUAUGAAAUUAUAUUUGGCUAGAAUUUUUAAUAAGGUAAUGACUAUUAACUCUUAUACCAUUAUUAAACAUUUAAAUUUUAUGUAAUUAUAUUUAUUUUUGGCAAGACUUUUUAAAUAUUUAAUAAUUAAUAAUUUUUAUAUCAUCAUUAAAGAAAAUAUAAAAUAAACUAAACAUGACUACAUAUAACAUUUACAUUAAUUUAUAAAUUAAGAAAAUAAUUUAUAAAUUAAUUAAGAACAUGAUUUUCCACUAAAAGUAUUUUAACUAUAAUAAAAAAAAAUAUUAUUAAAAUUUAGGUAUUUAAAUAUAGACAAAAUUAAUUUGCAUAUGUGUCAUCACCAUAUUCAUUUUAAGAAAAUGACAUGGCUUUUGAAAUUAAAAUAUUAAUUAUAACUGUGUAUUAACAAAUAUAUAACUAAAAAAACACUAAUCAGUUUUUGUUGUUGAUGAUUAAUGAGUAAAACGUUUAUUAGCACUUAUCGGUUGAUUAGGUUAAUUAACAAAAAACUUUAUGGGCUUCAUGUAUUUAACUAAAACAAAUAAAAAUGUAACUUUAUUAAAUUUAAUAUAUAUAAAUAUAGACAUAUUUAAUAUUAGGAAAUAAGAUAAAUAUUUAAAUUAAAUAACCAAUAAAUAUAAUAAAAUAUAAAUAAAAAAAUUAUUUUUAGUAAAUGUAAUUAUAACUCUACUAAAUUUAAAUAAAAUAAAAUAGAAAUAGGUAACCAAAUUCGAAUUUUUUAAUAAAAAAAAUCACAUUUAUGAUUUUAUCUUUUUCCAAAUCGGUAAAUUUAAAAUAUAAAAAUAAUAAUAUCAAAAUGUAAAAUAAGUCUUGAAAAUAUUGUAAAGUUACAGUAAAAGUACAGAAAAUAAAAGAAAUGCUUUUCUAAAAUAAAAUAAAUACAAUAAGAUGCAAAGCUAAAAUUAGAGAAUAAUACAACACAGAGAUUAAAAUUUGAAGAAGUUUUCUUCUGAAUCAUUUUGCAUCUCAUUAUUCAACACCAUUUAUAUUUGGCUAUCAUUUUUAUGAUAUUUCAAAUUAUUUUUCGCAGUUUUGUUUGUUGUAUAAUAUUGUCCAUAUUCCACAUUAGAUCUACAUGUAUUUUUGAAAAAAUAAAUUCUAAUUUAUUGAUUCUCUCGAAAGAAAUAUUAAAUGAAAUUGCUAACUUUUAACAAUUCUAAAAUAUAUCUAUACAAUAAGGAAAUUGUAUUUUCAGUGAGGAAUGACCAAUAAACAUAUUGAAUUGUAAACAUAUAAUAUUUUUUGGUCGCAUCACUUCUAUACCCAUGACAAUGAACACUAUAGUGACUUCCAUGGUAAUUGUUUUCACAACAAAGUUGUUAAGAUGAGUUCCUUACCACUUACUAGUUUCUAAACAAUUAGAUUAAGUUGCUCACCUUCUAUCUCAGUUUCGAAUGCAAGACUCACAUGCUCACCGACGUGGCCUGGAACUCUGCCUCUCGUAAAGCAGGAGGUGGCUGGUACUGAAUUGAUCAUGAGAAUGUUGUUAUCUUGCAGGGUGCCCGAGUCUUUGAUCGUAUUUCCUCCCCACUGAUGGCGAAAGCCAUAACCAUCCGAUCUCUUGAAGCUGGAAUCACAGAAAUCUGCAUAAAAUCAGAUUGUCAAGUACUUAUUGCUGCUAUGUCUUCGAAACGUUUUCCGGCGGAUCUCUACGGAAUCUCCCGAGAUAUCGAGACUCUAUCUCUUUGCUUCCUUUGUAUUUCCUUUUGUUUUAUCCCGAGGAACCUGAACUCUAGAGCCAAUUCUUUGGCUAAGUCUGUAUUAAACUCUUCUCCCACCAACUAGUUUGGUCAGGGUAGCAUUUAUAAUAUUUGGUGUUCAAAAAAAAAAAUUAAGUUGCAUGACAUUGAUCUCACUCAAAUUACUCUAAAGAGUAAAUUUACUCUCUCAAAUAAGAGGUUUAUUGCAGUAUUUAGGGAUCGAAUCCACAAGGAGUUAGAGAACCUAAUAAAUCUAAUGGGUUUUGUUAAGUUGGAUGGUUUAAUGAUUAAAAUGUAAAUUUACAGUUUUGUUUGAGCAAGUAAUUGCUCGAUUGAUUGGUUGAGGUUUUGGUGCUUAAAAGAAAAUAGCUAGACUUAGGGUUUUUAUUUUUCCUUGAAAUUAUAAUCUUACGGAUGCCUAAUGGGUUGCAUGCAUGAUAAUGUAGAGCUCAACUACUAAGCAACAAGUCAAUCAGCUCUCGCGUUUCUGGACUUUUCUAUUAACUAGAUCUAAUGACCCAAACAAAUGUGUUCGAUCAAUAGCAAGUGUCGAUCGAUUAUCCUAUAGGGAUAUCGAUCGAUACACCUUUCACUCCGUCGAUCGAUUAUCCAAUAUGUAUAUCGAUCGACGCGCUUCUAAUUAGGAUUUAUGCGCAGGUUGAAUGAUGCUCACUAAGCUCACUAGAUCAGCUCUCGCCUUACUCUUAGCAAGAAACUUAGCUCAAUUAGAAUGGUUUCAGGAUGAGAAUGAAGCUAUCGCUUUUAUCUAACAAUCCUAGGGCAAAUUCUAGGUAGUUAAUCUAGAAUCAGGCAUUAAUGACAAUCCUAAUGAUUAUUAUCACAAUUCAGCAAUCUAUAGUUGGGGUUAAUCCCUCAUAACCUAUUUAAACCCUAAAAUCUAACAAUGGAACUAAUCAGACAUGGCCAAGCAAUUCAUAACAACAAUUAGGUAAGAAAACUUCAUUAGAAUAUUAAAUAGAUAUUAAUGGAGUUCCAAUCACAAAUAUAAUUUUGGAUCUUUUCUCCAAUAUAUCAAAAUCCUAAAAACCUUUUGCUGAUAUAAUAGUAAAACUAGAAACACAAGAAAAGCACACUUUGCCUCUAACAUGGUGGUAAGGCUUAUAUAAUUAGGUUAAAACUCGUCAGGGUAAUCUUGUAAAUUAGUGAAUACUUGGGCUUCAAGUCGGCUGUGACCAAACGGGCUUUCUGCGCGCUUCGCUGUCGAUCUAUGUUCACAUCGAUCGAUGUUCUGAUGUGAACAUCGAUCGAUAUUUGUUCCUCGAUAUCGACCGAUGGUCGAGCUCGACGGUCAUCUCGGAUGCUUACUCCAAAUAUCUCCAAAAUCAUCAAUUAUCUCCAAAUCACUCCUCAUCUUAUAAAUAUAAUAAAUAGAUUCUAUAAUAUAAUAAUUAGUAGUAAAAACACCUAUAAACCACGGUGAAAAUGGGUCAAAUUCGUGGUUUAUCAGACAUCGAUUAUGGACACAUAGUCUAUCCCGGAGAUUUCAAGAGCUGAUUGGAAAGGAAAAAAUUUAACUCUCAAUCCGCCUUAAAAAAAAAAAAUCCUCCUCUCAACAAAAGAAAAGUACAAAAGAUAGAGAAGCAUCGAGAGACUGAUCAUGCUUUGAUCAGAUUAGGGCUUGAGUAAUCUAGGACUUCUCCUUUAAGAUUACCAUUAACAUCGCAAGGAGAGAACGGUUACUCCCGUACAAACUUAUCUAUGUAUCUAUUGUUUAUAGCAUUAAAACCUUAUUUUUUUCUUAUUCGAUCAAAAAAUGUUUUGAUGCUAUAAACAAAAUAAAACAAUUUAAUAAAAUGAUGAUAAUAAUAAAAUUCAAGAAAAAUAACUAACAAAAACAAUUGUUAAUUAUGGUGUGAUUAAUAUACAAAUUUACUCAAGACUGUAUACUAUCUUUUAUAUAUAACUGCAUGUACUUGUAAAAUUGUUAAAUAAGCAUAAUUAUGAAAAUAAUAGAUAAAGAAUAAUUUGUAAAAGCAAUGGAUAAAAAGAUUAAGUUAAAGUUAAAAAUGUUGAUAAAUACAUAUAAAACAUUGGUUAGCCUUUAAAUAUUAGUGAAGUAUGAGUUAAGAAAUUUUUUUUAACAAAAACAAAAAAACUUUUUAAAACCAACACCACAAAAAUAAAACAUUUAAUAAAUAUGUAUAUUUUUAAUUUUAUAUUAAAUAAAUGCUCAAAGCCAAGGUUUAUUUUUCGAUUUAGUAGGCACGGCACCUAGUAAUAAUUCGUUCGUACGAGUUCAAUAUCUCCUCACUCUCUAUCUCGACUCUAUAUAAACUCUCUCGCAUAUUCACAUAUUCCACACAACUUCACAAAACAUGUCUUCUUCGUUUCUCUCCUCCACUGCUUCCUUCCUUUUUGUUCUUCUCUACAUUGGUUCCUUCCACGUCUCCGAUGGAGCUCAACAAGGAACAUACAUCGUUCACAUGGCGAAAUCUCAGAUGCCCUCGAGCUUCGACCACCACUCUCUCUGGUACGAGUCCUCUCUCAAGUCCAUCUCAGAAUCUGCUGAAAUGCUCUACACUUACAACAAUGCGAUUCACGGAUUUGCCACUCGGCUUACUCCCGAAGAAGCUGACUCGCUCAAGACUCAACCAGGUGUCAUCUCCGUUCGACCAGAGCAGCGGUAUGAGUUACACACCACUCGGACUCCACUAUUCCUCGGCCUCGGCGUACACAACUCCGGCCUGUUCCCUGAAACCGGUCCAGGCAGCGACGUCGUCAUCGGAGUUCUCGACACAGGUGUUUGGCCAGAGAGCAAAAGCUUCUCGGACGAAGGAUAUGGUCCUAUUCCGUCUACCUGGAAAGGCGAAUGCGAGGCUGGGACAAAAUUUACCACUUCCCUCUGUAACCGCAAACUAAUCGGAGCUAGAUUCUUCGUUUGUGGUUAUGAAGCAGAGUAUGGACCAGUGGACGAAUCUAAAGAGUCGAGAUCGCCUAGAGACGACGACGGUCACGGAACACACACAGCUUCAACCGCGGCUGGAUCCAUCGUGGAAGGAGCUAAUCUUUUGGGCUUCGCUAACGGGACGGCUCGUGGGAUGGCUUAUCGCGCUCGAGUGGCUGUUUACAAAGUUUGUUGGAAACCUAAAUGCUUCAGCUCAGAUGUUUUAGCUGGAAUCGAUAAAGCCAUCGAAGAUAAUGUCAACGUUCUGUCGUUAUCUCUUGGCAAAAGAAACAGAGAUUAUACUAACGAUGUUGCCAUGGGAGCAUUCUCGGCCAUGGAAAGAGGGAUCUUUGUUUCCUGCUCUGCUGGUAAUGAUGGUCCCAGCCCAUCCAGCUUAUCGAAUGUAGCUCCAUGGAUUACUACUGUUGGUGCUGGUACAUUAGAUCGUGAUUUUCCGGCACUAGUGACUCUUGGCAACGGGAAGAGUUAUAUUGGAGCUUCCUUGUUUAAAAAAGAUGCUCUUCCGCCUACACUGUUGCCGUUUGUUUACGCCGGGAGUGCUAGUAACAAUGCUACUUAUGGAAAAUUUUGUCUCUCCGGAACACUAAUUCCGGAGAAGGUAUAUGGGAAGAUCGUGAUGUGCGAGAAAGGAGAGAAUGAUAGAGCUGAGAAAGGAGAGGUGGUGAAAGCUGCUGGUGGACUCGGAAUGAUUCUGCCGAAUAGGGCGAAUAGGGGAGAAGAGCUUGCCGCAAAGGCCCAUGUGUUACCGGCGACCACUGUGGGACAAAAAGCCGGUGACAUUAUCCGGCGCUACGUCAAGACGGAUCCGAGUCCGACCGCUUCGAUUGUGAUCCAAGGAACGGUCGUCAAAGUCAAGCCCUCUCCUGUGCUUGCAGCUUUCAGCUCGCGAGGACCUAAUCCCAUAACGCCAAACAUUCUCAAACCGGACUUGAUCGCUCCUGGAGUCAAUAUCCUCGCCGCAUGGACCGGAGCUCUAGGACCUUCCGGACUCGCUUCCGAUACUAGCCGCGUGGAAUUCAACAUCAUCUCAGGAACGUCCAUGUCUUGCCCUCAUGUGAGCGGUUUAGCGGCUCUUCUCAAAUCAGUGCAUCCAGA